ACUGUUAAAUUUUUUUGUGAAUUUGAGAGUUCACGAUGUUGUGAACCACUAAAUUUACACACUAAUUCGUGCGGAUAUCUGCAGGAGGGAAGGACUGUCCAUGUAAAUAUCUGUUGUGAUGCGUACAUUGUUUCCAUGUAUGGUUGAAUUUUCAUUUUAUGAUUUCCACUAUGAGAAGAGAAUUUUGGUCGGAUAAAGAAGAGAACGAGGAAAAAGAAAAAGAAGACAUCAAAAGUUCAAAGCUGCAACGUAAUCAAUAGAAGCUGAAUAUGAACAUUUCUACACAAGUACAUGCAGAACAUCUCAGAUAGCAAGCCAACAAUAUUAAUCUUAGUCAGCUUCUAGAGCCAUGUCACUUUAUUGACGAUAUUAGUUAUUUUUAUUUAUUAUAAUUUAUGUGACAUGGUUUUUCAAGGACGGUUUAGAAUUUUAUAUUGGCAUCGCCAGGUUUUGCUCCUCCAGAGAAGAAGAAGGCAAUGGGAACGUUGUGAAGGUCCAAUCAAGCACCUGAUGGCUUUCUGAAAAGUCGGGCCCUGUGGAUGCUGUGAAGCCAACAUAGACUGAGCUUGGAAGGCGAAGCCCGCCAACAAAAAUGGAAGAAAAACGGAAACCCACUUGAUCGAUCAUUUUUGUCUUUUCUAUAUAUGCAGUAAAGGUGUGUUUGGUAUUGUUUUUCAGCUGUCGUUCUAUUUUUUACAAAAACAAAAAACAAGAAAACAUGUUUGCAGGCUGUUUCGUAACCGUAGAAGGGGAAAGUUAGGAGGCAUAAAAAAAAAAAAAAAAAAAAAAAAAAAAGGCACUGCGUCAGUAUGUUAUUGUUUCCAUUGGGCCCAAUCGAAAUCAUUUACUUUGAUCAAUUUUGAUUUUGUGUUGGAGUAAAGAUGGUGUUGGAUUGAAGUGAACGAUAUAAAAACAGGCAUAAAAUUGACACGUACAGUCAAUCUCAAUUGGUAAAUAUCUGUUUAAAGAAUUUGGAAUAAAACAAUCACUAAAUAGUGUACGCAGCCUGUAAACAACUUGCAACAAUAUUUACAGUAAAUAGAGCAAAUUUUUGGUUUAUGCAAUUAACAGUGCGAAACAAUUAAGUGUAGUGUGAGAGCAAAUGUAAAGGUGCCUGAACAAGUCAUCCGUAUUUGGAGCAACAAUAAAUAAAAUAAAUAACUCUGUUCGGUGGAAGCAGGCUGAAAAUAACCCAACUAAGCCACUAUAAUUUAGAAGGGGAAGUAAGGCUGCUUGUAUCGUGAGUGAUUGGAUUGUUGAUUAAUUAUUUUUGAAGUCUCAAAACUUGGUUUCCUUGAAGAUCAUCAUGGAAAACUAACGUUCACAAAUUAGUUUGGCAAGUUGGCUUGUUAAUGUAUGAAGGAGAAAAAAAGUAGCCAAAUUAAUGGCUAACGUUGAUGGGAAGACCAUCAAAUUUUCAGAAAUUUUUUCAAAAUCUAGACCCCAGGGUUUUCCAUUCCAAAAAAUAAAAAAUAAAAAAUCCGAAGCUCUUUCUCUUGUGCUAGAUUUUGCAACCGAUGCAGUCUUGACCUCUCGUAAUUAUACCGAUACUUUUUUUGUGUACUUCUAAUUCCAACUACUUCCAGUAAGCAGCAAUAUCUUGACUCUUGAGACUGUUUUUAGGAGUCCUUCACUCAAGUAUAACAAUUAUUCUUGAAAGAUUGAUAAUUAGUCUUUGACUUUGUGUGUUUAACCACGGAUAAUUUUUUGGCUUUUGACCUUUUCACCCUCAUCUUCAAUUCGUCUUCAUCUUCAUCAACAGAACUAACUCAAAUGGUAUCACAUUUCUACUAUGUGUAUCACGUUUAAAACUAUAUCCUUUGGAUUAUAUAAGUUCAAAUCCAACGAUCAUUUCAAAUGGGGAUAGAAAAUGGAGUACCUUACCACCACGGUUAAGGCAGCUGGACCUAUAUGUAUUAUGGUAAUUUAUAAAUAUUUUUAUUACUAAUUUCAAUUGUAAUUUAUUUUAAUUAGAUUUGUAAUGAUAAUAGGAAUAUAAAAAAGCAUAAAAACUAGAUGCAUUGCAGAGCAAAAAAUAGAAAUUAAUAUAUUAUAAAAAAAUUUCACCAAACACAUUUCUAUUAUUUUGAUAUUUUCAAACAAACUACCAAACUUACCUUUUACAUUUUUUUCUUUUUCAUUUGACAUCUUAUCUUGAAAACAAAAUACCAAAUGCCUUUCCCUUUUAAGAACAUCACAUCAAAAAUAUCAUUUUUCUCUUCUAAAAAAUUUUAAAAAAAUACAAAAUAAUAAUAAUAAUAAUACCAACCACACUCUAAAGGUUUUGUAAUUUGCAAUAUCUGACACAGAUCAAUGAAUUAAGAUUGUAUGUGUUCGAGGGAGAUGAUAUGUGAUGGAGCUUUGGCCUAUAAAGACAAGUAAAUCAUUGGAAAAUGACAAAAAUGACAAUGUCUUUAUGAAGACAUGAAUACACGUGAUAAUCUCGUGACUUUAAUUUAGUCCAUUCAAAUCGCAUAAUGAAUAUAGGGGAGACAAAGUCUGUGUUCUAGGGAGAUGAUAUAGUAAUAAGCUUAUUAUAGAGUUUUUAUUUUUCCAUGUUAAGAAUGAUGGUUGUACUUUGGAAUCCAUGUUGUACAAAGAAGAACUCAAAGUAAUAUUAUUAUAAAAUAAUUUCUUGUUGCAAAACAACAAUACAAUUGAACUUUUUUGUACGUUAAGAAAAUUAGAUAUGAGAUUUAAGUCAAAAUUCAUUCCAAAAAGAAACUAGCAAUUUUAAGAGUGUAUUUUACAAAAACCAUAUGUACAUAUACUAUGUCGACUUAGUUUUAAAUUAGGUGAUUGUUAAUUAAUGUAUAACGGGUAUCCUAUGGAAAAAUAUGGAUUUUUAAAAAAUAUUACCUUACAGAUUUUAUUAAAUUAUUAAUAUAUUGGCCUAAAGUCGAAAAUAACAAAAAUUAUUAUUUAAUCAAGAUUAAUUUAUUAAUAUCGUACCGUACUUAGUUGGUCUUUUUUCAAUGCAAAAUAAAAUGACAGAUCAUAUAAAUGAAGUGACAUGUGGCUUACUUCAAUUUCUUUCUUAAUUAAUUUAAUGAGGAUAUGGUAAAAGCAAAAUAAAAAGAUCAUUAGCUCUAAGGCCUAAUCUAUACAAAAUGAUUAAUAACAUAAAAGUAAGUGAUCAAUCAUCCUAGCUGUAUGGUUGGGAUUCAUCUUCCAAUAUAUAUGUAUGUUAUAUUGGCAAUGAUUUUGCCAUAUAUAAAUGUCAUUAUGGACAUUAGCCAAAUAUAUCUUGAUUUGGAAAGAGUCCUUUAUGUGAAUUCUUAUCACAUAUUUCAUAUUUAUUGUCGAUAGAACUAUAGACUAUGCUAUAGAUGUAUGAAUUCAUAUUUCUAAUCAAGUUUAUAUUGUUAUAUAGAUGUAGAGAAAAAUUUUGGACGUCUGCACGAAUUUAAUUUCAUUUGAAUUUAGAAGUUCAUAAUAUUGUGAAACUCUAAAUUUGUCCAAUAAUUCAUGGGGACGUUCGCAGUAGAAAAGGACUCUAAAUGUAAUUAAUAUUUGCGGCAAUGCAUACAUUGUGUCCCAUGGUUAAAUUUUUAUUUUAUGGUUUCCACUGUGAGAAGAGAAUUUUCGUCCCAUAAAGAAGAGAACGAGGAAAAAGAAAAAGAAAGAAGUUCAAAACUGCAGCGUAAUCAAUAGAAGCUGACAUGAACAUUUCUACACAAGUACACACGGUAAAUCUCAGAUAGCAAGCCAAAGAUAUUAGUCGUAGUCGCUGCUAUCAUUUUAUUCCAUAUUUAUACAGGAGCCAUGUCACUUUAUUGAUGAUAUUAUUAUUUAUUAUAAUUUUUAUAUGACAUGGUUCUUCAAGGCUAGUUUAGAAUUAUAUUGGGAUCGCCAGGUUUUGCUUCUUGAUAGAAGAAGGCGGCAGCGGGAAUGUUGUGAAGGUCCAAUCAAGCACCUGAUGGCUUUCUGCUCUCCCGAGCCCUGUAGAUGCCGUGAAGCCAACAUAGACUGAGCUUAGAACUGUUUCUGAGAUGACAAUAGGUCUUUCAAUCAACUUCUGAAGUGGGUUCCCCGCAUAUGCCACAUAAACAUAGAGUAUUUUCGUCACUUGAACCUGGAUCGGUCUUCCACUUUUGAGAUCAAUGCCAAAGCUGUCGAGACUCUUAGCUGGAUCUGAUAUUAAGCUUGCUAUGUCGAUGCCGAUAUGGUUAUUAUCUGGAUCAUUUUUAUUUUUGUUCUUGAAUGUGUCCAGCUCCACGGCUAAUAUCGAACCAUUGUUACCUACAUAUAUAAUUUGCAUAUGCAUUAUAUAGAUAUAAAUAAAUAUAUAUAUAUAUAUAAUUAUCUCAAGAAGGUUUCCGCACAUUAUUUGGUGAGGGUUCCCCACCAUAUGCUACUAUUACAACACCCGCCAUAUGGUAUAACAACAUUUCUUCAUUUUAAUAAAGCGUAGAACUCUCAUUAUAUAGUUCUUCUUCAAUAAGAAUAUUUUUAUUUUGUUAAAGUGAAAAUAUUACUAAAAUAUUUAAAAAUAAUAAUAUAUUAGAUACUGUGUUUUUUUAUCUGAUAAUUUAGUAAAAUAUGUAUUUUUUGUCUAUUAAUGACAUCCAUAGUUUAUUAAAACGAGGUUGUAUUCAAUAAUAAUAAUAAUAAUAUACACGCAUAUAUAUCAUCAUAUUGUUUAUCAGUACUGUUAUUAUAUAUAUUAUUCGCCUAUGCAAGCAUCAAGUAUGUGUCAGUACUUUAUCUGUGUUAAUUCUUAAUUAUUCACAUUUGAUCAUCAUACCCGAUGUAGUCAGUUCAAGAUUUCCGAAGCCGCUGUUUGGUGGUGAAGGGCUGCUAUCGGGUGUAAGAACAAACGUCAUGACUUCUGCCGAAUCCGUUGUAUUUGGGUAGGGUGAGAUCCUAAUGGUGAAGGUGGUACUAAUCAUAGCUGGCCAUGCAGUCACAGGCUGGCUGUAUAAAACCCGUCCAACCUUAUUUAGCGGCAGCUGAUCUGGCGAUUCUGGUGAAGGGUCUGAUGUGAGGCUUAAGUAGCCAUAACUUGGAGUCACUGCGCCAAUGCAAAUUAGGCUGCCAUCGCUACAACUUUUUGGGUUGAAUGAGGAAAAUGUGAAGCUAACAGGUUGAUCCACAGGGACUGAUGAAAAAGCACCGCGAAGAAAAACUGAGAGGAGUAGUAGGAAAAUCAUUUUUUUGUUCUGGGAGGGCUACUUCUUGAAUUGCAUUGCUCAGCUUCACAAGCACUUAUUAUAUGGGGGACUUUUUUUUUAUUAAUUUUAUUAUUAUUGUGGUUGUUGUUAUUAUUACUACUAUUUUGCGUGCUAGGGCGAUAUUUUAAAAGUCACUCUCGUCUGAAAACUAUGUGUAGCACAUGCAUAUAAUUGUAUGAGUAAAAAAAAAUAUUGAUAAAUUGUUAUGUAUAAAAAGAAGGUAUUGUUAUUUGCAUCAAAACUUGUAAAUGAUCACUGAGUACAAGAAAUAUUUCUAUUAAAAAAUAAACUCUUUCACUUUAUGAAGUUUUAUUUUUUUUUAUACGAGAGUCUUCAUUUUAUUUUUCAUGUGUAAUUUUGUGUCCAAAUAAUAUUAUUCAAUUUUUAUCUAAUGGCUUUGGUCAAUUAAGAAGUACAGUCUAACAUACCCACCCACAACAAAUGUUUAGUUAUAAUGAGACUAGUGUAUAUGAAAUGUGAGUAAACAUAAAUCUAUAAUCUCUUAACAAAUUUGUUUCGUAUAAAUUGAUGUAGCACAAUUUAACUGGUUUGAUUAAAUAUAGUUUGACCUACAUAAUUUAACUUUAUUAUUUUGUAUUUUCAUCCAAUCAAUAAAUUUAUAUCACAUCAUUUUGCACAAAAUAAAUUUAUACUAUAAUUUGUAACUUUAUCAUCACUCAUGAAAGUAUUUGUUAUGCGAUCAAAAACUAAAAAAUGUAAUAUAUAUAUAUAUAUAUAUAUAUAUAUAUAUACACACACACAUAUACAUAUAUAUAUAUAUAUAUACAUAAAUAGGUGAGUGAGCGUCUGCACUCUGGAAAUUGCAAGCUCUUCAACUAGCAACUAGCUACUAGAUAUGAAAUAAUAAAAAAUUCAGACUCUUAUGAGCUACAAAAAUAUUAUAUAAGUCUAAGACUCUUAUGAAUGAACAAUGGGUUAUGUACAGUCGUUGCGAUAUAAAAAAAUUCAUGAAACUUAAAGUUUAUAUUUUUAUAUUGUAGCUUCUAUUGAACAAAGGUCUCGACUUUGCUUAGUUUAAAAUUCUAAAUAAUAAAUUAGGAACUCCUCAUGACCUUAAUUUCCGUGAAUUUUUAUAAAUGCUAAGUCACAUGUCCAUUAAUGAUUAUGUAAAAUUAAUAUUUAACUACUCUCAUAUCCUUUAUCUACUAAUAAUCAAUAAUUCAUGUGAUUUGUUCCAAAAAAAUUUCAGUUUGGAAUAGAACAUACAUCGUCAACGAAGUUUAUUGACUUGCUUUGAUUUAGCAUGAGGUUGGUGAAGCAACUGACUGUUGCGGAAGGGAUACUUAGAAAGUGUCUAAAAGAUUUAAAAAGAGAGGGAAACUAAUGAUAUUUGAAACUACAGCCUUGAUGUGCAAAUUUAAGAUCCUAAUUCCUACGACAGCCUUAUAAAAGAAAAAAUAAAAAAAAAAUUGAUGGAGAAGGUGAAGCACAGGGCGGGGAGGUUGAAGCGGACCUUAUCUACCACAGAAAAUAUCUAUAAAUUAAAUUUGAAAGUUAUAGAGCUCAUCAGGGAACAAAGUAUAGAAGCCUUGGGUAGAUUUUGGACAAUCUUUGAAUUAAAUAUUAUAAUGUAUAGAGAAUCAUUUGUCUCAUGCAUAAGCACAAACACAAUAUAAGAAACAAAUCUCGUCCGUGUUUAAAUAUAGGACAUAUUUAGUUGAACAAUUAUAAUUUAAAAAUUAUUGUGCUAAAGUGUUCAAUAAACACUUUAUGUUGUGAUUCUUAAGUUAAGUUGAUUUUAUUUCACUUUUGCAUGACGAAAAUAUCAUAAUAUCUUAACUAUUUUUAUCAAAAUUAUUAUAUAAAAAUUACAUUUUAGAACUAUAAUUUUUCUUUUCACAAUUUUUAUUUUAUAAUUAUAUUGUUUAAGUCACAAUGCCUUAAUACCAAACGGGCCUUUUAUUAUGGCAAUAAUUUAAAUUGACACAUGGUGAUUGGUAUUUACCAUGUAUGUCAUAUAUUUCGCCUCAAAUUUGAAUCGACAUAGAUAUUUUAUUUGUAUCUAAUAAUCUAGUCAAGAAUAUUUCGAUUAUUAUUUGACACAGUUAUCGACCGUAUCCUUCAUCUAAUAUUUUCUAAAAUUUCCCCAUGUUUAAUGGGUUUUCGGAUGUGAGAUUCUAAAUAUUUAUGCUAGAAAGAUCCUAAAACGUCAGAUUAUGUGUGGUAAAGUUACAUGUACGGAAAAUUGAACAAUUAUUUAUUAUAUAAGGGGUUGAGAAUAAAAUUGAAACAGGAUGAAGCAUAAGUGACAAGAAUUUAGCUGUAAUGUUGAAUGGGUAAAUGAAAGCUUGCACGGCACACCGGACACAGCACGGCUGGCAAAUAAUCCUUUACACAAUUGGGUACGAAAAACGUCGGCCACAGAUUCUUCUCACUCAUUUUUAUCCUUCGCCCAUUUGUUAUAAAAUUCACCAACUUCAGAAUGUGUUUAGUAAUCAAUUAAUUUAAAAGACAUAGUGAAUGAAGCGAAGAAAGGGGGAUGAUAAUUUACAGUACCUGAGUUGCAAUUAGCAACUAUUGUUAUUAAAGAAGCUGAUAUAAUUAAUCAGUAUAUCAAAGGGAAGCAUUGGGCCAUGAGGCUCUGUAUUCAUAUAUACAAUCAAAUCAGGAAGUGCUGAUGAUUCCAAAUUUUUCCAUGCUCCUGAAGAAACCUUGCACCAGGGGGCAUGUUGAUGGCAACUCUAAGCAGUGGCUGCAGCCUGCUCCUCAGCAACUUGUGCAGCUGGAAGAAGGGUGCAGAUGAGGUUGCGGUCACCAUACACAUUGUCAACGCGUCCUGAUAUAGCAGUCCCGAGAAGUCCAAUGUCAGUACAAUCAGGCAAGGAAUUAAAAGACAUGUUUGUAUUUCAGUGACUCUAUGCUAAAAGUCGGAAAUUACCAUAAGCCUAUGAAGUCAAAAUUGAAAUAACCUACAGCGACACAUGGGUUUGAUGUGAAGUUUAUGGCACAGAAGUUUAUAUCGCUGUUAUGUUGUUAAUAUUACUUUCAAAUAGGUUAAAAGGAGAUAAAAGAUAAGAUGCAUUAUUAUAGACAAAGGACCCCUGCUCUGACAUAAUAAAUUGUGCGGUCUCAUUUUGCCUAAUAAAGAGUUCGAGGGUGUUAGUCUGGCUUACUGGAUAAGGCAGCUAAAUUAGUAGUACAACUAGAACUUAAAUAUGAAUGAUGACAAUAAUGUGAACAAAAAAGUUAUUCAAUGACUUCACGAAUUGCAGAUUCUGGCAAUGAAGUUGAGGGUUGAGGGCACAUAAGGGGUAUGAUGGACACGCAUACCUGUAGCAGGCCAGAACUUAGCAAACCGGAGCCAGGAAGCAGGAUAGGCUGCAUAUUCUCGAGAGUAUGGUUUAGUCCAUGUAUCUCCCAUGAGCAAAGAUGGUGGAUGAGGCGCCCCCUGCAUUUCCAAAUUUCAGAUAAUAAACAUAAGGCUUCAUAAAUAAACUUUGAUUCCACGGAGAACUGGAUAUACAUAUGUUAAUUUCUUUCACUAUGUAACUAAAGAAAUAGCCAUAGUGAAGAAACAAGCGUGUCACCUUCAGGACAUUGUUGUGGAUAUCUGCCUUCCCGUUUUCAAUCUGUGCAAUUUCUUCUCUGAUGGAGAUGAGAGCAUCACAAUACCUGUCCAACUCUUCCUGCAAAAGUAGUGAAUUUGGUUAGAGAAAGUAAAAUUUGAAAGAAGAGAUCUUCUCUGUUAUGACAUACCUUGCUUUCACUUUCAGUUGGUUCAAUCAUAAGAGUGCCUGGAACAGGCCAUGACAUUGUUGGUCCAUGGAAUCCAUAAUCCAUAAGACGUUUGGCAACAUCUUCGGGCUCUAUCCCGGCAGUAUUCUGAGAUGAAAAAGGUUUACAAUUUGUUAUGGAAAUAAACAGUAGAUCAAGAGGAAACUAAUAGAAACUUCUGUGUCAUAAGAACAACCUUCAAGCCUCUUAAGUCCACAAUGAAUUCAUGAGCAACUGUUCCAUUGACACCACAGAAAAGGAUGGGGUAAUGUUUCUGAAAAACCAAAACAAACUUAACUAGGUCAAAAUUAUCCAGAAUUUAUAACUUUAAUGGCAAGCAAUAUGGAAGGUAAACCAAGCAUGCGUGAACAAAUCAUUCUUCUUCCUGAAGAAAGUUUGGGCAAAAGGUUAUGUGAGCGUAGCAAGUGGAAGUUGCUUUGCUUAGACAAUAAAAGUGUGACAAUGUUUUAUAGAAGUAUAAGAACAUCCGCAAAGCGAUGCAACCACCAAAAUGAAACUUACUUAUUUUAAAGUAAAGCUAUUAAAGGAAAAAUCAAGAACCUCCAAACGUUUUGCCAUGUAGUUUGCAUUCAGAAUAGCUAUCUUUGAAGCCUCAGUGAGUCCUUUAGAACCCAUCAUAGCUAUGUACACAUAUGAUAUUGGCAGGAUAAGUGCAGAGCCCCAAGGUGCAGCUGCAAUUGUGCCCAGGGGUUGAGACUUUUCAGGGGCAGGAAUACCACCUGUGGAUACCUUCAUCAUGGAAAUAAAAUUAAAAAAUUAAUAACUGAAUGAAAAAUAUCAGAGCAGCAAAUACAUCAGAACAAUUUGUAGACUUUACUGAGCCCUAUUACUAGUAGCAGAUAUUCAAUCAUUUAUAGGCAUUUGAUUUAUUAAUGGUCGGAAAGAUACUAAUGCCUAAAAGGUAGUAAAUAGCUUGAACUGCAUACCAAGGGCCUAUCUGUGCUGAAGAGAAGGUUCCAUCAUAACAAUUACAGAGUUUUUUUUUUUUUGGGUUUUUUUGGUGGGGGCCCUAAAAGUCAUCAGCAGCCAUAAGCUCAAUACAAAGAGUCUAAUAAUAAUAAUAAUAUAUACUAUGUGUAUUCAUGCAUGAAUAAUAGGUAAACAUAAAAUUGUUAUUUCCUAUAAAACUAGUGGAAAAUCAAAUUAAACGAUGCAAUAUUCUCCAUCUAAGCUAAAAUGUAAAUAUAUUAAAAAGUAGGAUGAAAAAGUAUGCAAAGAACACUUGUUAAAUGUACGAGCACAUACCACAGGAUGUGAAGGCAGAAAGGGUGCCAAGUGUUUCUUCACACCAAUAGGGCCCAUACCAGGACCACCACCUCCAUGCGGAAUGCAAAAUGUUUUGUGGAGAUUGAGAUGGCAAACAUCAGCUCCAAUGUAACCAGGGCUUGUCAGACCGACCUAUAAAACAAAAAUUUUCUCAGACAAUUUCCAUUGGUGAGCUGUAUGCAAUGCGAAAAAAUGCCUGUACGGUUGUUCAAUUUUUUGAAGAGUUGAGACAUAGUUUGAAGAUCAGCACUGUUAAGAUGCAGAAAUGCAUGAAAAAUAAUGAACAUUUAAGUGAUGAAAAGCAAGAGAAGAUCCUACAGCUCCACACAUCUAAUUUAUUACAAGAAAAGAUUGGUCAAGCUGAACAUUAUAGAAGUCUACGGCCCUAACUCAACCCAAAAGCCAGCUCCAAGUCUUAUAUACUUGACCCAAGUUCAAUACUUAGUCGAUGUGGGAUAUUUUCCCUAACACUCCCCGUCAUGUGCAAGCCAGUUUUUUUUUACUAGUCCUUGUCACAUGCUAAGGUAGUGUGGGUCUACUCAUGUGGUGAGUUUGGCUCUAAUACCAUAUAGAAGUCUACGGGCCUAACUGAACCUAAAAGCCAGCUCAAUAGUUGAGGGUUGCCCAAUUCUUAUAUACUUAACCAACAUCAAUACUCAUUUGAUGUGGGAUAUUUUCCCUAACAAACAUAUGCUGAAUUGCUGAUGAUUAACUCACCUGGCAAGUAAUCCUUUUUCAAGCUCAUAUUACUUGUAUCUACAGGUUUACAUUCUGACUCCAUUGACCUCAAAAUCCCUUACUGCUACCCAUUGAAAGAUGCAUAUAAAUCUAAAUGAAUCAACCUACUAUUUUACAUCAUUCUACAAUAUGAGAUGCUUGAGUCAUCGAAAUGUAAAAUGAUAGUUCAUAGGAACAUAUUUAAAGAAGUAACAGACCUGAGCAUUCAUGUUAGCCCCGUCCAUAUAUACUUGACCUCCAUUAUCGUGAAUUAUCUUGCAUAUCUCAUCAAUACCUUCUUCAUAAACUCCAUGAGUUGAAGGGUACGUUACCUGAAAGUUAAAUUUAAUUCAUAUAUCAAGAGAAAUUGCACAAACAAGCAUUCCCAAAUGUCCUAGUCAUAUUUAAGUUUUCUACUAAUACAAAAUGAAUUAUCAGUACAUGUUGCAAAGCCUCUUUACCAUAAGGGUUGAUAGGUUGUCCCUAUUAGCUUCUGCGGCCUUCCUUAACUCUUCAAUGUUGAUGUUACCCUUGGCAUCAGUUCCAACAGAAACAAUCUUCAUUCCACACAUGGCAGCAGUAGCAGGAUUUGUCCCAUGGGCUGACACGGGUAUAAUGCACACAUUGCGGUGAUGGUCUCCUCUUGCCUACAGUUUCCAAUAACAGUCCAAGGAUUGUUAAAAAUGGAAGGAAAGGAGCGGGAAAGGAAUCCAGGCGAUAUGUCUCAAGUUUUACUCCAAGUUUUUGGCUACAAGGGAUAAGAGCAUAGUUUGUAAACACAGUUACCACCCAAUUACCUUAUGAUAAGCGCGGAUAACCAUGAGCCCAGCAUACUCACCAGCUGCACCGGCAUUUGGUUGCAAAGAGAAAGAGUCAAAGCCAGUAAUGGUACACAGCCACUCACCCAGAUUGUUAAACAUUUCCUUAAGAGACAAAAAAUAAUCAUCUAUCAGGAAAUAAUAUAUGUGAAACAUUUAAUAGACUAAUGCAGCUGUAAGUUCUGUGCGCUACUGAAGAUGCCUUGCUAAUUACCUGAUAACCCUGAGCCUGGUCAGCAGGGGCAAAAGGGUGUAUGUUAGCGAAGCUAGGCCAUGUCACUGGCAUCAUUUCAGUUGUUGCAUUCAAUUUCAUUGUACAAGAUCCCAAUGGAAUCAUACUGUGGCAUAGUGAGAGCUCCUUUGAUUGUAACAGAUGAAUGUAUCUAAGCAAUUCAUGCUCUGUGUGGUAUCUAUAUAAUAUUAAAAAACAGUAUAAGUCAGAGAAGCCUCUGAGUUAUGAAGUACAGGUAGUUUGAGUGAUAGCAUAGAGUUGUACUUGUUAAAAACAGGAUGUGUCAGAUAUGGACUCUCCCUUGUUAAUCCAGACGGAAUUGCAGUCUCAACCUCUUCAGCCAGAGAUGCAGCAGUGAAUGGAACCUGACAGUUUAACAAAGAAGGUUCUGUUUAGAAAUCGAACAAUGUAAUUAAUACAGCGAAUAUCAUUUGGGGAAAAAAAAAAUGUAGAACGCACUGAUUUGCCCCCGGCGAAAACUAUGAAAAGCUUAUCAACAUCCUCCAAGGUGGUUGUUUCAUCAAAGGAAGCAGUGACCUGAGAGACAAAAAAACUUCCUUAAUCUGACAACAAAAAAUCAUACAGUAACCCAUCAACACAACAUAUGAAAGACUAACUCACAGUGUUGGAAUCUACAACCCGAAGAUUCAUUUCAAUCUUGUAAGCAGCACUGGCAAUGGCAUGUGCAUCCGCACACUUCACCUUCACAGUGUCAAAGAAGGGAAGCCCCUGGACUUCCACUGUCCCCAGCUUUUUUAACCCAAGGGCGAAAGUCCCGGCUAGUCCAUGGACUCUUUGAGCAAUAGUUUUAAGGCCUUCAGGUCCGUGAUAAACAGCAUACAUAGCAGCCAUGUUUGCAAGUAAUGCCUACAUAGAUAAGUUUUAUUCAACCAAAGCAAAGUCAGUUCAUUGGGCAUGUUUUAUGGUGCAGAAAAUAUGAAUGCAUGUGUUUAUGACAAAAUUCUUGAGCUAGAUAGGUUCUGCAGUCUUCAAACUUUCAAAAAAAUUAAAAAGCAGUUUUUCAAUCUCUACACAGGCAGUCCUCCAAAGUAAAACAGAAACAGAACAGGAAUAACAAUAAUCUGUUACUUGAGCGGUGCAGAUGUUGCUGGUAGCCUUGUCCCUGCGGAUAUGCUGCUCCCUAGUCUGCAUUGCCACACGCAGAGCAGGCUUCCCUGAAGAAUCAAUACUAACACCAAUAAUCCUCCCUGGCAUCAUCCUCUUGUACUCUUGAGAGGUAGCCAAAAAUGCUGCAUGAGGACCUCCAUAACCCAUUGGCACACCAAACCUCUGAGCAGAGCCCACAACAAUAUCAGCCCCCAGUUCACCCGGAGGCUUCAAAAUUGUCAAUGCCAACAAAUCCGUCGCCAUAACAACCUUAACUCCAUUAGCAUGAGCAUUCUUAAUGAAAUCCCCAUAAUCCAAAACUUCACCUUCAGUACCUGGAUACUGAACCAAAACCCCACAAACAUCACCUGACUUGUAAUCAAUAUCCUUAAGAUCCGAAACAACAACUUUAAUAUCAAAACCAUCAGCUCUAGUAAUACAAAUAUCAAUUGUCUGAGGGUGGCAGUUGGUAGCAAUAAUAAAAGUCUUCUUCUUUCCCUUCUGUAUGUUAUUGCACAUAGCCAUUGCCUCAGCAGCAGCAGUUCCCUCAUCAAGCAAUGAGGCGUUUGACAUAGGCAAUCCAGUAAGAUCUGCAAUCAUGGUCUGGAAAUUAAGCAAAGACUCAAGUCUCCCUUGAGCAAUCUCAGCCUGGUAUGGAGUGUACUGAGUGUACCAAGCUGGAUUCUCCAUAAUGUUCCUCAAAAUCACAGGGGGAACAUGAGUGUUAUAGUAUCCCAUGCCAAUAAAUGACUUAUAAACCUUAUUCAUUGAUGCUAAUUUCUGCAUAUGUUCAAUCAUUUGGCUCUCGGUUAGCCCUUCAUCAAACUUAGAGAAUUUCAUUGAAUCAAUACGAAUAGAUUUAGGCACAGUAGCAUCAAUAAGUGAAUCGAGAUUAUCAAAACCAACUAACUCAGACAUUUUGGCUUGAUCCUCUGGGGUUGCAGAGUUAUGGCGACGAGCAAAAGUGUCACUUGGUUUUAAUGCCUCAACAGAAAUGCCUCGAGUCUGUGACCCGAUACCAUAACCAUUAACAUUAUGAUGAGACAUGUUCCUAGAUUGCAACAAAUCUGAUCUUGAAUUGUUGGAGCAAACAAAUGGUGCGCAUGACAAUGAAGAGAGAUACCUUGAAGGUGUGUACAAAGCAGCGGCGGCAGCUGAUGAUUUCGAUUCACGGUGAUUGCGGGACAGCUGCUUGGACUCAUUAACCAGGCGUUUGAGAAAUGCCCGGCUGGCCAGCCGCCUUGCACGCUCCAUGAAUGAAGUGAGAUAGAGCUAAAACGGGCUCUUGAGUCUUGCCUCUUGCAAACUUCAAAAAAGGAAAUAACUUCACAAGAAGCAAGGCAAAGCAAGGCAAAUGGGGUUGUUGAGAAGAUAAAAAGAGUAGUUUUUCAAUGAAGUAAAUAUUUUUGUUACAUAAGAGUCAGCGGGGGUAGGGAGUUGGUGAUAAAUAAACUGAUGAUUCAUGUGCUGAUAAUUUUGUCUAUAUAAACAAUAUAUAUAGAGAGAGAGAGAGAGAGGAGAGAGGAGAGAGGACAAACUAUCUAUCUACAUACACACACAGACACACGUAUAUUUGUUCGUGUAUAUAUUAAUAAAAAAGAUUAAUUCUUUUAUGACUUCAAGAUCUGGUGAAUUUGGUGGGUGAUGACUGAGCAGCCACCUACGUAGAAAAGACACUUAGGAAGUUAUCAUAUCACAAUCUGCAGGAAGUUACAACUUUCUUACAAAUGUAUGGAAGAAAUUGAAUGCAAAGAGAUUGGAAUUCAAUGGAUCACAAUGCCGUUCGAUUUUUAUGGUGAUAUGAAUAUGAUGAUAUCCGAGAAAAAAUUUAAAUAAUUGAAUUUUUUUUUUUUUUGGGGGGGUGGGAAAUAUGGGAUUCUUUGGUGGCUGAAUCUCUUUCACAAUCAAGUUAUCACUUUGCCUCACCUCAUGUUUAUAAAAACAAAAGUCUUUCAUUGGGUUAGGGUUUACAGCAGAUAAGUGAUAAAUCUCAUUCAUUUUUCAGUUCAUGGGAACUUUCAAUGAGAAUUUUUUUCGUUUUUUUUCUUUUUUGGUUUGGUUGGGAUUUUUUGGUUUGUUGGUUUGGUGGGUCCUGAAAAUUGGGUGGAGGCUAAAUUGGGAAAUUGCUGGAUCAUCGGAAAUCUAAUGUCUGUGGGCUCUUGUGUGGCCUGUGGCUGACAAUUUACGUCAUAAGUGGUUACCUAAAACAACUCGACAGAGUCCGAUUUCUCUGGCCAUUUAUACUGUUGUGUGGUGUAUCACACAGCCUUUUAAGUUUGAGAAGCAACGGCUGAGAUUUGACCACAGAAGUUACCGUCGUGAGAAAUUGGAAUCUUGAUGAUCAUUUCAUAGCAUCCAAGAACUGGACUCUUGACUCUGUCAUAAGUACUUGACUUGUGUCUUCCGAGGGAAAAAACAAAAAAAAAAGGAGAGGGGGGGAGAAAAGUAGUUGCGGAGGGCAUUAUGUUACAUUUCAUCACAAAUAAAAAUAACACCAACAAUUCAAAAUAAAUUUCACAACCGAAUAACACUUAAACUUGUUAGUGCAGUACUUGUGAGUGGGUGUCUAAUUACAAAAGAUUGGGCACAAUGAUUUGACCAAUAAUCCGGACGAGAUGUUUUAACCAAUAAUUCAAGUAGAGUUGUGUUGUAAUAAAUGAUUUUUUUUCUAUAUUAUAAUAUAAUUUACAAAUAUUUACCGUUUUUAAUUUUUUAUUAUAAAAAACGAACGUUUAAACCGAACUUAGGUCGAAUGUUGUUAUACAUUAGUAUAAGAUAUUAAGAAAUACGAGUUAAUAUCACUUUUUUGAACUAUAAAAUUAAUCAAAACAGCAACACCAAUCAACAAACUCAAAUUUGUUUAGACCAAUUUUGACACUUUAAAGGAAGAUUUCUCACUAUAAAAGGGACAAAUAAAAUAGUUUGAUCUCUAUGAUACAAUGACAUUGUUAUGAGGUUGCACUCGACGCGACAGUUUAAAACAACAAACGGAAAGUUAAAGAAGAAAAAUAUGAAAUAGAAGUAGAGAGCAUUAGAUAUAAUAAUUGGGCUACCUCUUCACUUCUUAUUAUAGUUUUAAUAGGUCAUUAAAGGCUUUGUAUAUCUUUCUUAUAUAGAGAAACCUCGUAUUUUUCCUAAUUCGAUUUUGAAGUAAUUGUCCACUUUUUUUAUUGAAUUUGAAUUCGCCAUCUAUGUGUCUCAUAAUUUAAUUCAGAUUGAAUAAUUUAUAUCACAUCUAAAUUUGAUUUAUUCAACUCUAAUUUUUAAUUAAAUCAAACACAAAGAAAAUUGCUCGUAUUUUCCUCUAAUGAGUGACAUUAGUAUUUUGAAAUACUUAUAAAAUUUCUAAUUCAAAAAAGUCUUAUCUUUCAUUAUAUGUUCAAAAGAGGACUUAAAACUUUGCAUAUAGAUAUAAAGAGAAAAAAAAAAAAAAGCUUUUGAUAGACGAAAUGAAUGAUAUAUGAAGGGAAAAUGAUAUAAUUUUUGAGUUUUGAUAAUAAUCUUAGGUAGUUACUUCACAAGUUUCAUAUUUUACGUUUUGAAACUUCGCACCAGCCACCAAGCCACCAACCUCUUCUAGUCUUAGCCUGUGGGCGCUGGUUUUUUGUUUGCGUGGCAACAUAAAAGUUUGUUUGUCUUAUUUUAGCACGAGGUUAGCAAAGGCAAUUGGCUGCUACGGGAGAUGGCUUUCCCCCCCUCAAAAGUCUUAUCUAUUAUACGAAAGGGAAAAAGGCAAUAAUAAUAAUAAUAAUAAUAAUAACGAAGGUAGAAAAUAAAUGCAUGAUGAUAGUAAACAUGGGCGGCCUCGGACUUAAAUUAGAUAUUUUUAUAUUAUAGCUCCAAUUAAACUAAAAUCUGAAUUUUGUUGGAUCUACAACCCUACACGUGCGACGAAUUAGAAUUGUGUAAUAUCUAAGUUUUUACAGCUUUCAAAGAUCUGCUAAGUCAGGUGUCCAUUAAAAAUAAUAUGAUGGUGUGUUUACUUGCCGGAUUGAGAAAUCAGAAUUCAGAAUCUAAAUGAUUGAUGGUGUUUCCUUCGUAAAUAUGGAGCAGGAAUCAUAAUCGGAAUGAUGGGAUCCACUACUAUUUGAGAAUGGGGAAUGGGAGAUUGAUUCCGAUGGGGGAGGUGGGAAUGAGUCUCCCAUUUCCGGGAUUACCCUCCCCAAAAUUAAAAAUACCCACUUUGUCCUCUUUUAUAAUUAAUUAAUAUAAUAUUAUAAUUAAUUAAUUAAUAUAUUAUUAACUAUAAUUAUUAAAAAUUAUAGUUCUUGAAUAAAUAAUCACAAUAAUUAAUAUAUUAUUAUUAUAGUUAAUUAAUUAAUUAUUACUAUUAAUUAAUAUAUUAACAUAUUAUUAAUAAUAAUUAUUAUUAUUAUUGAAUAAAUAAUCACAAUAAUUAAUUUAUUAGUGUUAUUAUUUUAAUUAAUUAAUUAAUGUACUAUUAUAAUAAUUAUUAAUAUAAUUAAUUUAUAUAUUAUUGUUAAUGAAUCAAUAUAAUUAUUACUAUUAAUUAAUAUAUUAAUAUAUUAUUAACAAUAAUAUAUUAAUAAUUAUUUUUCCUGAAUAAAUAAUCACAAUAAUUAAUAUUAUUAAUUAAUAUCCUAUUAUAAUAAUUAUAAUUAUAAUUAAUUCGUAUAGUAUUAUAAAUUAAAUAAUAUAUUUAUUACUAAUAAUUAAUAUAUUAAUAUAUUAUUAUUGUGAUUAAUUAAUUAAUAUACUAUUAUAAUAAUUAUUAACAAUAAUUCUUAUAAUUAAUUCAUAUAUUAUUAUUAAUUAAUAUUAUUAAAUAAAUAAAUAAUAUAAUUAUUACUACUAAUUAAUAUAUUAAUAUAUUAUUAACAAUAAUUAUUAAUAAUUAUAUUUUUUGAAUAAAUAAUCACAAUAAUUAAUAUAUUAUUAUUGUAAUUAAUUAAUUAAUAUACUAUUAUAAUUAUUAACAAUAAUUAUUAUAAUUAAUGCAUAUAUUAUUAUUAAUUAAUUAAUUAAAUUAAUAUUAUUAAAUAAAAAAUAAAUUUAUUACUACUAAUUAAUAUAUUAAUAUAUUAUUAACAAUAAUUAUUAAUAAUUAUAAUUUUUGAACAAAUAAUCACAAUAAUUAAUAUAUUAUUUUAAUUAAGUAAUUAAUAUUAAUAUUAUUAGUUAAUAUAUUUUAUUAUAGUUAUUAUGAUUAAUUAAAAUUUUUUACAAUUAAUUAAUAUAUUAGUUAAUAAUAAUUAUGACAGUAAUCCAUUAAGUGCUUUUUAGUAAUUUGUCACAAUCUAAUUCAUUCUGAUUCCGAUUCCAAAAUAAAGUAAACACAUUAAUGACAAUUCAGCUCAUUCCGAUUUCGAUUCAUACAGUUCAAGUAAACAACUUGCUUUGAUUCCCAUUCCCUAUUCUCAUUCAUGUCCAUUCUGAUUCUAGUUUAGUAAACGCAGUAUGAGAUUAUAAUUUUACUCUUUAUGUCCCCUAUUUAGUAAUAACCAAUUAUCUACAUUGAAUUCUACUAAAAAAUUCACGUCAAAGAGAAUAUUGGUCCCUAAUCCCCGCAUGACAUGACAUAAGUUUAAUGGUUUUCUUGCUUUAGCAUGAGGUUGGUGAGGCAAAUAACUGUGUUAUGGAAUGAACAUUUUGACUGUGUUGUGGAAUGGAUAAAAACGUUGUGUGGAAAAUUUCAGAUGUUUAAAAAGGGAGGGGAAAUAAUAAUAUUUAGAAACAUAACCUUUGAUGUACAAGUUUAAUAUAUCCUAAUUCCUACAGCAAUCUUAUAAAGAAAAUUGAAAAAUUCAAAAUUGAUAGGUAAGGCGAAGGUAUGUUGGGGAGGCUGAACCGGAUCUUGCGAUACUCACCUAACACAUGAAUUAAAUUUCAAAUAUUGCUAAUUUGGAAAUUAAAUAUAGAAGCCAAUCAAGCCAUAUGGAGAUUGUAGACUAUCUUUGAAAUUAAAUAUUAUAAUGGAAACAUUUAUAGAGAAUCUUUUGUCGCAUACACACGGAAUCUUUUGUCUUUUGCAUAAAAACUCUAAUAUUAUUCACGACUAAUGAUACAACCACAAACUCUUGUACAAACUUAUUUUGUACAAAUUUAUGUGGCAUGAUAAGAUUGGUUGAAUGAAAAUAUAAAAUAAUGAAAACAAAUCAUGUGGGCCAAAUGAUAUUUAAUUCAAUCAAUCUUAUCAUGCCACAUAAGUUUGUACAAAAUAAAUUUAUACAAGAGUUUGUGGCUGUAUCAUUACUCUAUUAUUCACCAAUCACUAAUGCCCUCAAAAUGUUUGAUGACCAGUGUUAAUAAAUAUAGAACAACUGCCUAACACGCAUUUUCACUUAAAAAAUUAUACCAACUCCGCCAUUAAUUAAAAAGCUAGUGGGCUUUCAAGCCCACUGAUUCGCUAACACGUGCGCACAAAUAUGGUGCAUGGUCUCGAGUCUCAAUCUCAUGUUGCGAUUCUUUUUCCUUUCAAUGAUUAUUAAUAAUAAUAUUAUCAUUAUUACUAUUAUUAUGGUAAUAAUAUUUAUGGUAGAAACAUUUAUUCUAAUUUUUUUUUGUGAACAAAUAUAUAAUUGUAAUUAAGGGCAUUCUGAUUACAAUAUAAAAUAAAUACAUUAAUGGAAUACAGCUCGUUCCGAUCAAGAGUAUAUAGUAGUUAUUUUCGUAUUUCAUUUCAAUACGAAAUUAGUUAUGCUUCUGAGCUAUGAUCAAACAAUUCGAUAUUGCAAAGCUAAAUAAUCAUGAGUGACCGAUAGCGAAGUAGCAUUGUGAGGGAAGGGCGAAAAGAAACCUCAUCGAGGAGUGAAAUAGAACAUGAGAGCUUAAGCACCCAAGCAAUGUGAGGAGCUCGGUGCUCCAACCGCAUGCCUGUUGAAGAAUAAGCCAGUGACUUAUAGGUAGCGCCUUCGUUAAAAAGAAAAUGAAAGAAUAAUAAGCAAUGACAUACUUAUUCUAAUUUUUUAUCAUUGUAGGAAGGGAAAAUAAUCUUUCUUUAAUUGUUCCUUUCAAUAGAAUUGUUGGGAAAAUAUGCUCUUUAAAAGCAUAUGUGUUUAUUUAAUUGUAAUAAAUAUUUUUUCUGAUUAAUAAAAUUAAUGAAAUAUUUUAUUCAAAUAUCUUAAUUGCAUUAAUAUUUUUAUUAAAGUCUAUUUAAUCAUAUUAUAUGUAUUUAUGUGAUCACUAUGUGGAUUCACAGAAGACAUAAAUACAAGUUAUCUUAUGAUUAAAUAAAUUUAGUUCGCAGUUGAUAAAUAAAGUUGGGCACUUUAUUUAGGUAUAGACUGUAAUAAAUUCAUUGAAUGAUUUGUCUUAAUCAUGUAUGAAUUUAUUGAUGUAGUACGACUACAUUGAACAUGAUCACAUAUUAGAUUUAAUUAACUUUGUAAUAACUGUCAGAUUUAUUAAAUCUCAUAGGCAUUGAUUUUACUGUAAUCUUAAUCUUGAGUUAAUUAUGAUUUCAUGAUUGUAAUUGUUAUUCCAUUUGAGUUACCAAUGGGCAUGACACAUACUUGUAGUCUAGAUUACCCGGUAUCUUGGUGGGAGCAUUUAUGAGUAUUGGAGUUAUAAAUUAACAAUAUAGAAUUUGUACAACACAUCUCUUGAUGAGUUUUCGGCACUUGAUCAUAGAAUUCUCUGGCCAGAGUGUGUCAACAUAUUUAGUAUGUUGAAAAUGAUCAUUAGAGAAAAUCAGUAAGUAUCAAGGAACAAGAUAUAAUUAAAUUGAUUGGACAGUUGAGAUAUCGAUUUAAUUAAUGAUGUGGUACAAAUGAUUGUGCAGUAAAGAAAUCAAUGUGGCUUGGAACGAAUUAUUAUUCAACAUACAAUUAUGGAAGUCAGUUCCAAUCUUUUAGUGGAGUAGAUUUGGAAUUAAAUAAUUGGGCUAGUUUAAUUACAUGCCUAAUUAUUGUAGCCACUAUUGUAUGUUCCCAAAUGAUCCCCGGGUUAGCUCAUUUAAUUGACUGCACCACUACUGGAUUAAUAAGCAAGAUAACUAGUUAUUUGGGUCAAAAGCCUAAAUAUAUCAUUUAGUGGGAGGCUCCAUUUAAUUAGCUUGUGUGUAAGGGGCUUUAUGUUAUUUUACAAGGUGGGUCCCCUAUAGAAAAAGCAAGUAACUUGAGUUUUAUUUUUCAUGAUUUAGAGCCUAGGGUUUUCACUAAAGGGAGAUAUAAAACGCUUAUUUUCUCUAAAGAAAAAUAUAGCAGCCACUUUAUACAGAUCAGAAAAAAAGAUUUUUCUCUCUAUUGUUGAGAGAAAAAUUUUCUCGUCCUAGUUGCUUUGGUAGUGAUAAAGGCGCCCACACGUCAAGUGCAGAUCAAACAUGAGUCAUAACCUGAAAGAUCAUUGGUGACAGUUCGUGAUCUGACAAGCGUGGUGAUGACGGAUCAUGAUCUAACAUGAGUGGUGGCGACGGAUCGUGAUCUGGGAGCCUAAAUCACUUCAGCGGAAAAAGCCAAAUCGAAUUUUCAAGGUACGAUUUCUAGAUUACAAAUUCUUAUAUAUUAUAUGAGAGUGAUCUUAAAAAGGUUUUAUAAAAAUUUAAAAACCUGAUAUUUCCCCAACAAGAAUAAUAAGUAUUUUAUUUUCAAAUCAAAUCCAAAUAAAUUAUUCUUUCGAUGGUAUAGUUCGCACCAUUUUUGCAGUUCAGCGGUAUGAGUCAUUGGAACAAAAAAUGCCCAGUUGAUCUAUGCACCCUUAUCCAUAACUAGCUACAGAUUAUGGUACAGAACUGCCAUUUGGGUGAUUCAUAUAUAUUCUAUUUACUUUAAUUUUGAGUUUAGGAAAACAUUAUUGAAUCUGAAGCCCAAGCCAAAAAAAUGAUGCAUAAUUUGACAAAAGGCUUUUAUGCAUGGAUUGCUAUCCUUCUCUUUAAGAGAUAACAUUCUUUUUGCAUUUUAAAGAUUUGUGAGCUUAAUCUUCCUAUUAAAUAUUUAAAUACAAUAUACAUAAUUACUUCCAUUGAAAAUUGUUUAGUCCAAUCUAAUAUAUACAUAAAUUGCCUAUUUUUAUAUUUUUGAUUUUCUUUUUUUUUUUGUAACUCAAGUAAAUAACUUAUUUUUAUUCUCAUUCCUCGUUUUAAUUUCAGUCCAUUUUGAUUUUAGUUCAUUCUUAUUCUAGCGAAGUAAACGCACCAUUUUCCUAACCCAACUAGAUUACAUGAUUUUAUUAUAAUAUAUAUGCACUUAAAAUUACACUUCACAAAUAGGAUGAGAACCUUAUACAUAUAAACAAAAAAUUUUGAUUAAGUGCGAACCUUAUACAUAUGGAGAGGCUCUGUGUUGUAGACCCCAGAGACCCUCAAUCAUGAUUUAUCGUGGAUGCUGUCGCACACUAAAUCAGUUCUCUAUAAACAAAAUUAAUAAAGUGAAUGAAUUUGUCUCGUAAACUAUAAAAACAUCAAAAUACAAAUAUACAUACCAUUUAUUCAUCUUAUAAUGGAACUGGAUUCAAAAGUUGUGCUAAAUUCACUCUGAAUUUUUAUAAAUAGACCUAUAAUGUAAAGAAUUGGAUAAAGAUCAUCUUGACUGAUACACUUCAAAAUUCAAAUGCAACCCAUAGGUAAAAAGGCGUUCGGCGUCCUCCAAAGCCCACCAAUUUGGCCAUUAAAACGCUGCGUUUAAUGACAGGAACCAAUUGACCAACUUAGUUUAACAAAUGAAAAUCCAAUUCAGAAAAAAAAAAAAAAAUUUGAGAUCUAGAGAAACUGUAAUCCACUUGAACUAGAUCGACCAUCUUUGUCUUUUCUCCAUAUAUAUAACGUUUUUGUAAAUUGCAGUAUUAGGCUGUGUGUUGUGUGUGAGAUAUAAAGAGAUUUAUGAUGGGGCUCUUGGCCUACAAACACAACCAUCAUGUGGCUCAAUCGCAGCUGAUAGCUCCCUUAGUUAAUUAAGCAAGCGUAUCAUCGAAAAAUGACAAUGUCUUUAUCAAGACAUGGAUACAACGCUAUAAUCUAAUGACUCUUUGGUUCAUUCACAAAUCGCAUCAUGACUAGGAGUGACUCUUAGAUCUCACACGUAGCAUGUUUCUUCAUCUUUGAAAUUGUUGAUCAUCAUAUCUCAUCCUGGACCAACAAAGUGUUGGCUCCACUGGCAAUGGAGUCCCCUUAAGUGGCUUGAUUGGGUUUGCUCCCCAGUUCGAGUCGCAGGGAAGUCGCCUUUGUUGGGAGAACCUGUGCCUCCCGGUUCGAGCGGGGACUUCUAGUCUGGGUUGUGGUACGGGCUUAAAAGUGCCUCCCACAGUUGGAUCCCUCCCCAGGAUACCUCGUGAUUAAUAUAAAAAAAAAAAUCAUAUCUCAUCCUGGGCAUCUUAAGAAACAAAAAAAAUAUGCACAUUUAUCUUGUCAUAAUAAUAAUAAUAAUAUUAAAUACCUGUGAAUGUAAUCACGAGAUGGCAUAAAGCAUUCUCAUUGGAUGCUGCCAAGCAAGGAACGUUGUGCUUCACUUAUUUUACAUUCAGGUAUUUUGAGGUCAUUUAUCAGAUUUCAAUUUCAAUCUUUUUCUCUUUCAACAAUUAGGCAAAGCCUCUAACUUUCACAUAAUCUUAGGACAACAUUAUUUUGUGGACCGUAUUAAUUAUAAUUUAGAUAAUGAAGAUAAGCAAUCUCGUAGGCCAAUUAUACUCUUUUCUGCAUAUCGAUUCAGUUUGGAGAUAAAAAAACUGCAAAAUAGCUCUAAUAAAUGAUAAAGUAAACGUACAGCCAUGAAUAAUUUUGUACAAACAAUAUUGUACAUUCUAAUGUGAUAUAUUAUUAUUCAUUAAAUUAAACAUAUGGUACCAAAUUAGAUUAAUACAUCUUGCCACACCAAUGUAUAUAAGAUUAUUCAUAAAACUAUUUGGGGUUGUAUAACGAUUCUAAGCAGACGAGUAUGGAAUUGUCUUCCCCAUAUAUGAAGCGCAAGCACAACGUAAUUUGAGUCAUACAUGAUAUGCUCAUACGUGGCUCCACCGAGACCUUUUAUUUCUGAUCCGUUGAUACUUGAUAGUUGGUCAAACAAAAAGACAGAUGAGAUCAUAAAAAAAAUGAAUCGACUUGUGGCUUAGAGUAUCUACUCUCUCAAGUAAUUUAACUGAGGGCAUGGUAAUUGGAAAAUGAGAAGAUCACAAGAAAAGUUGAUAGUAAAAGUUGUGGGGGACUAAAGAGGCUGUCACCGUCUCUUCCUGCUCAAGCAAUUGAUGUCUUUCUGCAAGACAAAGAGCACAACAUGCUCCCACCCCAUGCUUGAAAAUUAUUUAUACUCAUCUCUUUUCAUAUACAUGUUAUCUGCACAAUCCUCAGAAGACUGAAAUCCCCUCUCUCCAUUCUUCUAAAUAUCUUUCACGGCAGAAAUCAUUCUGUGCAUGUUAUGGCAAUGAAACGUAUAUUAUAUAUCUCUAAUGUGAGGGAGAAUUAUCCUCAUCGGCCGUUACUGAAUUAUAUAAGAUUUGAGCAAGGGAAAAUCCAAGAUCUUAUUAUGAAGUGGAUCAAACAAAAUUUUAGAAUAUAUAUAAUUGCGUGAGAAAAAAUAUACGGAAGUAUGAAAAUAUUUUUAAUGUUAACAAUGAGAGAUAUUGUUGCAAUAAUCAGAGACUUAUUUAAUUGCACUUCUCUGAACUAAAAUUUAAUGGGAUUUUGGCAAGGAACUCGAAGGACAAGUAAUUUAAAGGCAUGUGAUGCGUAAGGCACAGCAAGUUAACAACUUAGAUGCAUCGAGAAACAAGGGAUACGUUUAAUAUAUUGGGAUACGUUUUGUGGUUACACUCCACAACUCCGUUUAGUUUGUCUUGUUUUUAUUCGGGCGGCUACAUGAAGUCACGUGAAUGACUUUCAUCAGGCCAGCGCUUGCCCUUUUUCACCUUUUAUAAGACUGCACGACUGCUACUAUUUAGCUUCUUUUUCGCCCUCUCUUCGCUGGACAAACAGCUGCUGCUAUUUCUUUCUCUCUCUCUCGCCAUCCAUGGCUCCAAUGUAUUUGAACCCAGCACAAGAUCACUAUGAUCCUUUUCGACUUGCGGAGGAGCAAAAACGUGAUCAUCAACAUUUGCAGCUAUUACACUCUUCAUCACAUAAUCGACCUGCUGCUUCUGUUUCUCGCCCUAUUUUUCUUAACUCAUCAACUCAAGAUCAAGGAAUGAUCAAAUUGGAAGGAUCACAGCAACAUGAUCAAAAGGCAAGAGCAAUAAAUUCAAUUACUCGAAGCAAUUUAUUUUUCUUGUUUAAUUCUUUUGUUAUCUAUGCUUUCAUUUUUUAAAAAUUUUUUGUACUUAAACAAUUAUCUUAAUUUUCAUGAUCGUGUGCCUUUAUCUAUAGUGAUUCUUCAUCAGCAAUGUUAGUAAAUAUAAUCCAUCUGUUUAAUUAACUUUUCUCGGUAUCGUUCAUGCCCCAAUCAUAGCUUACAUAUAUUUAUAUAUAGCACAAAAUCGAGGCAUCUAUAUUCACAUAUAUAAAUUGAUGUGUAUGCUAGAUGAUAUGUUUAUUAAUUUGAUAUAUUAAUCUGUUUGAUCGGCCUUCAUUUAUUUGAUCUUUUUCAUUCUAAUAAGUACGUACAUAUGUGUACUUAGGCAUUUAGCUUUUGAUUUACGUAUUUUAUUUUUAUUUUUUUGAAAAUAUAUAUAUUCCUUCAUCUCGAACCGAUUCUUGUUUUUAUUUCCUUGUAAUUAAUAUACGUGAUCUCUUAAAUAUAAAUAAUUAACUUGAUCUCAGAUUGAUCAGCGCAUAGCUGGCGGUGGAUCAAGCGAUCUUCAAUCUUCAAUGUCUCAACCUAAGACGAUGACCAAUAAACUGGCCAUACGUAGAAGGGAAGUGGGGGAAGGAAGCACAAGCGACAACAGUUCAUAUACAUCAUCAUCAUCAGGCGAAUCUACGUCCUCCAAAAUGAGGCUAGCGAAUAAAAUAAUCAACUCAUCAUCGGUUAGCACAGGAACCCAUGAUGAAUCAGUAAAAGUUGCAGAAAAGCUUCUGCAUGAGCAUGACAAUAUCGAAGUCCAUUAUUUUACUACGAACAGUAGUAACAGCAACAACACCGUUAGAAUCUGCUCAGACUGCAACACGACCACAACACCCCUUUGGAGAAGCGGUCCUCGUGGUCCCAAGGUUCGUUCAUUCGUUCAUUGUUCUUUCUUUGUCUUUUAUAUUAUUUUUCUUGUUCAGAUUGAUUUCAGAAUUUCAUUUUAGUUUGGCUCUUCAAUAAUCUGUUAGGCCACUUCAUGUCUGUGUAUCAAUAAUAUAUACGAUGGUGCGCCCAUGAUCGUAACAUUAACCUAUAUUAAUUUUAUAUAUGUUGGUCCAGUCGCUGUGCAACGCUUGUGGUAUUCGGCAGAGGAAGGCGAGAAGGGCUAUGCAAGCAGCAGCUGAAAGUGGCACCACAACGGCCAAGGACAAUUCUUCAUUUCCGAAGAUUAAGUUGCAAAACAAUAUGGAAAAGAAACCGCGGACGAGCCAUGUGGCUCAGUACAAGAAAGUACAGUGCAACACUCCUGAUCCUGAUCCUCCUCACCAUGAGUAUCGGAGUCAAAGAAAGCUUUGUUUCAAAGAUUUUGCUUUAAGUUUGAGCAGUAAUUCUGCUCUUAAACAAGUGUUUCCACGGGAUGUUGAAGAAGCUGCCAUCCUGCUAAUGGAACUUUCUUGUGGUUUUAUUCAUACUUAGAUUUCAGUCAUUUGCUUUUCUUGAUUUAUUAACUAGGACUGGUUAUUAAUUCUUGUAGUUGCGGACACAGUUUGUGUGCACCACUUAAAUCCAUUAGUAAGAUUCUUGGAAUGGUGGUGUUAGGUAAUUUAAGGUUCAAAAAGUGCUUGCAUCAGCUAGCGACAGGGCGUUUGCACUUAUAUUUUAGAGUGCUGCUAGGUAGCGAGAGGAACGAGAGAAUGACGAGAGAAACGACAUUCUCUCCUGUCGUUUCGCUUCUCGUUCCUCUCGCUAAAGAAUGAAUAAAAAAUAAUAAAGAAAAACUGCUUUUAUCACUUCGUGCAGAGGAAAAUUUUAGCAUUUUGUCUCCAGCCCUCACUCUUCCUCUCUCCCUCACUUUCCUCUCUCCCUCACCAGCUUCUCUCCCUCAUGCUUCCAGAAGCUCCGUCAGGGAUUCCGGCGUGACUCACGCUUCCAGAUCCCUCACGGCUUCCUUCCGGCGUGACUCACGCUUCCAGAUCCCUCACGGCUAAAGUUCUUGAUUGCCUUUGCUUCGUACAAAAAGGGGAGGCUUUGCACUAGUAAUUUUUUUUUUCUCGGCUAAAGUUCUUGAUUGCCUUUGCUUCGUACAAAAAGGGGAGGCUUUGCACUAGUAAUUUUUUUUUUCUCGGCUAAAGUUCUUUAACGAAGGGGAAGGCUUUGCACUAGUAGUUUUUUUUCUCGGCUUUGCACUAGCAAAGACAUUCUCUCGAUCAUUUCUCACCUUAUGUAACCGGCCCCUCUCUCUCCCUAUUCCUCUAAAGUUAUUCAUAUUUCCUAAAUUCCAUUUUUCUCUUUUCUUCCCCAUUUUUUUUUCUAUGUAUGUAUCUCUGAAUAUGCUGAAUUACUGGAUAUUAUGAAUUACUUGACCACUUUCGAUCUCCGGAUGGACCUUUUUUUUUGAGGAUUUGUGGUGAAUAUACUUGCGAUGGCAUACCAAAUGAUUAUCUUGGUGUAAGUUUUAAUUGUAUCCUUAACUAAUAUAAUUAAAAAAAAAAAAAAGAACAUUCAUGGUUAUUGUUGAGUGGCUAGAAUAAUUUGAGGAAUAUUUGGACACAUGUAUCAUUGGGCAGGUUCUGGCAAAGAAGUUUGGAGCAGCUGUGGUUUCACUUGAACAUCGUUACUAUAGGAAGAGCUCACCAUUUAAAUCAUUAUCGACAGAAAAUUUGAAAUAUCUUUCAUCUAAGCAGGCACUCUUUGACUUGGCCAUACGUUUUAUUUUUUUUCUGCAUACGAUCUUCUUGGAUAUAAUUUCAAAUUUGCAGUCAACCAAAAUCUUAAUUCCAACAAACAAAAACAACACAAUAACCGAACAUUCGAAACAAAUAUAAAUCAAACAUCAAUUGCGGCGAUUGUUGUCUUCAUAACCCGCAACAAAAUUUACAUUGUUUAAAUGCCAGAAGCUUAAAUUACAACAAGAUCCAGCAACAACACCAAAAAAAAAACAAAUUUAACUUCCACAAUACACUUAAAUUCCAUGCCAGAUCUUUCACAUAACAAAAAAUUAAAACAAAAAGAACUUAACUUUUACAAUACACUUAAAUUCUACGCCAGAUCUUUCACAUAACAAAAAAUUAAAACAAAAAGAACAAGUUGAAAAAAGUCACUGCUCACUUAAUCUUUGCCGAGAGAGGGGAAGAGGGAGGAGGUCGUGAAGCUGCGUGAGAAGAAGUCUGAAAGUGAAGCUGCGUGAGAACUGACGAAAAUGGAGGAAAAUGAAAGUGAAAGAAAGAGGAAAGUUUAAUGUGGGGGAAAGUGAAAAAGUCAAGGAGAGAGAAAAGUGAAAUCGUGGGGGAAGUGAAAAAGUGAAAGAGGGAGCAAAGCAUUCCAACGCCAUUUGUUUAUUCAUUUGAUCAUUUUUUUUUUUAUGUGUAAUAAGUGAGAGGAAACGAGAGGAGGAAACGGCAGGAGAGAAUGCCGUUUCUCUCGUCCUUCUCUCGUCCCUCCCGCUACUUAGCAUUUCUCUAUAUUUUAAGGGGAACGGUAUGCCAAAAAUGGUAACAAUAGGCUGGUUAUGCGUAUGGGCACUAGGAGUGGCCCAUUCAAAGUGGGUCCUAUAUAACAGAGAUACAGGCAGGCAACCUGGUAAAUUGGAUCUAGACCUAAAACAUAAAACAUAUUUGACUCCAUUUACGUCUCUCGGCCGCCACCAUUUUUCAAUUAACCUGAAAUACUUUUAAAAUUAUCCUCACUAAAAUUUUAGAAAAAUAUUUAUUUUUUAACAUUGUCCCUUCUCUGUUAUCUACAAUCUCUCUCUCUCUCUCUCUCUCUCAAUCACCAUUAUACUCAUCUUCUGAAUUGCCAUGUUUCUAAUUUUUCUUAACCAACCCAAAUGAUUGCUUUAGUCAACUAGUUUAAUAUGGGCUUCUGUCUGUGACUUUUUAGACUGAAGCUGUGCUUUUUUGAGCUGAAAGUGGUUUUAUUUUGAUAUCUUGCUAAUUGGCUUCCGCUAAUUCACUUGUUCUCGUAAGAAUGUUUUUCCUUUGGUUCCUUAGACUUCAUGAUCUGCGUAUUUUUCCAUUAGAAUGUCAUUCAUUUCUUUUGACUAGCUUAAUCGAUUUGUUGUUCAAUAUCUGAUCAUGGAUUUGAUAAUGAUGAAAACCGACGAUUCCUAAUAGAGAAAGAGAAAAGGCAUAUGAGAGAGAAAAGAAAAAAAUUAAAAACAAGUACUUACCUCUUAAUUUUUAAUGGGGUAAUUUUGAAAAUAGAUAAGAUUAAUUAAAAUAUAGUGGUUGCUGAUUAAAAUUGAGGGGGUCAAAUAUCAACAACCCUCUAGUAAAUCGGGGGCUUAAAAAAUAAAAUACAUACUAGGAGAGAGUAGGAAUUUUGACACCCUUCAACAUUCCUUACAAAUCCCAUUUUCAAUUGAAAUUACUUACAUAACAAAAAACUAAUUAAUUAACUCCUUAUUUUAAAUGAAAAUUUAAUUAAACAAUUAAUUGAAAUUUUCUUUUAAAUUUUUUUUUCAUCCACCCCAUUUCAUAAUUUAUAUCUAUAUUUUAAAUUUUAUUUGAGAAAAUAUUUAUUUUUGAGAAAAUUAUGAGAGUUUAAGAUUAUGGAAAUAGAAACUAUUAAGAAGAAAAUAGUUUAAGAUUUUAAGAUUUUUAUGCAUUUUAUAUAAAAACUUAAAAUGUAUUUUUUUUAGAAAAAUUUUAGGUAAGAUGAUUGAUUUUUAUAUAUGGCUACUAUUUUAUAAAUGUUAUAAUAAUUUUAGAGGGUUAAAAGCUUCACUCAUUAGUAGUACACAUGCUCUACUGUUAUGUGAUGGACAGUUUUUUUUUUUUUGGGGAAAAGAAUGGCAAUUUUUACACGGAGUAAAACAUACCUUAUGAAAAAUUUGAGAAAGAGAUAAAGGAUGUAGAAAGAAAAAUAGUUAAAUAAAGAUUCAAUUAUUUAUUUUAUUAAGUUUAAUUAACUAAUAAAAUUUAGGUUAAAUUUAGAUAGACACGUGUAUCGCAAAAAGUGGCCAUAAAGGAUAACAAUUUUACUUUCAAGAUGAGCAAUUGCGUUUAAUCACAACUAAAUUGGCCAAAAUUAUAUUGUAAGCCACAUCGAGCUCGAAUAUAAUAAGGUUAUAGAAAAGCCUAAAAUGAACGUAAUAUUAGAACCACGACUAAUAUCAUAAUAACAAUUUUGUCUAUUACGAAUUUCUCUUAACUAAGAAGAAAUGACUUCACACAAUAAAAUCUAAUGAUCGAACAAGAAUAAAUAUUUGAGUUUAUCCUAUCUUGAUACUUAUAGAUGCACCUUCGGUGAAAUUUUUUUGUUCAAAUCGAGAAAAGAAUAUUUCUCUAUACUGCACUCUAAGAUGAUGCUUGACAUAUGUUAACACUAUGAAAUAUAGCAACAUAUUAGCAAGUCCCCCCCCCCCCCCCCCAAACAUCGCAAUAACAGUAGGGUUUUCCAGAAAUUUUACCCUUAUCAUUACUUUUGUGCAAAAUCGAAAGUCAUUUUAAUUAAUCCUUUGAAUCAUAGUGCAAACUGCAAAGUGGUUAAGUGUAGUUGCUAAAAAUCUUGGAUUUUGAUUUAGGACAUGAACGGUGUACACUUCAAAUGGGCAUAACUUUGGCUACCAAUGCUAGAUUUAGGCGAGUAAUUGUCUUGAAACUCUUAUUGGGACGAUAAUGCUAAUUUCUAUCAUAUAAUCUUACUCAAAGUUUUGUCAUAAUACAUUAGUUUCAAGCUUGAGUUUGCUCUUAAAGAUUUUUUUGAGCAAAUUAAAAUCCUCUAAUAAUUUUAUCUGUCCUAAAUUUUUAAAUAUUUUAUAUCGUGUGUCUGUUAUUAGUAAUUUACAGGCAUUCAAACUACAUCACAAGAUAGACGAAGUUUUUACCAAAUUGUAAAACAAUUUCCAUUUUCUUUUCCAAUUAUAGAAGUUUGAUGUUCAAGCCGAUGAUGCUUAUCGACUAAUUAAAACCAAUAAAAGUACCUCACAAGCAUUAAACUUGCGAUUGAAAGUUUGAACCCCUAGAUUAGGUUUGAAUCAAAAGAUUUUAAAAGUGUUUAAACACUUUAGUUUGGCUAUGGAAGCACAUCCGCUGACACUAAUACCAAACGGAUCCUUUGAAAUAUUAUAGUAAGCGCAAGACAGCGGAGAAAUAAUAGAAGAGACAUAAUUAUUAUUAAUUGGAUUAUCGGGAGAUGAAACUCUGGUAAAGCAAACCCGCAUUUUGGUUUGCAACAUUCUGAUCAAAGAAAAGAUUCCUCUUUCUUAUCUCUCUAGACACGCUCACAUGCAUAUAAUUGAAAAGGCAAAAAUUCCUAAUUGAUAUGUCAAGAAAUGGAAAUCGUGAAAUUCUAACUGUGGAUAAAACCACAAGAUAGUUCCAUUAGCAGGAUAGCAGCCUCUUCCACGUCUUGCGGAAACACUUGUUUAAGAGCCGAAUUUUUGCUCAAAGCUAUUGCAAAAUCUUUGAAACAAAGCUUUCUUUGGCUCUGGUACUGAUGAGUAGGAUCAGGAUCAAGAGUCCUGUACUGUUUCUUGUUCUGAGACACAUGACUUGUGCGCGGUUUCUUAUCCUUGAUCUGCAACUUAAUCUUCGCAAAUGGAGAACCGCCGGUAGCCGCAAUCGUGCCAGUUUUAACUGCUGCGGCUGCUUGCAUAGCCCUUCUUGCCUUCCUCUGCCGAAUACCACACGCGUUGCAUAGCGACUGCACCAACAUGUAUAUAAUAUAUAUAUUGAUGUUACUUUCAUGCACUAUCAUAUUAUUGAUAUACAGACAUGAAGAGUAUGUAGAGUAAGGCCAAUGAAGUGGCCUAACAGAUUAUUGAAGGGUCAAAAGGGCUUUCUAGAAUCUCAAUAACAAUGUCCAAAGCUGGAAAAAAGACAGUACUGGGAGAAUGGGGAGAAUCAAUCAAACAGUACUAAUGAAUGAACCUUGGGACCACGAGGACCGCUUCUCCAAAGAGGUGUUGUGGUUGUGUUGCAAUCUGAGCAGGCUCUCAUGGUGUUGUUGCUGUUGCUGCUAUUAAAAGAAUUGACUUCGCUAUUGUCAUGCAGCUGAUGAUAUUGAAGUUUUUGAGUUACUUUUACUGAUAAUUCAUGGGUUGCUGUGCUAUUCGAUGAUGAGUUGAUCAUUUUAUGCAUUAGCCUUAUCUUGGAGGACAUCCAUUUGCCCGAUGAUGAUGAACCGUUUUCGCUUGUAGUUCCUUCUCCCACUUCCCUUUUACGAAUGGGAAGUUUGUAAUUUGUUAUAUUAUUCAUCAUCUUUGUUUGAAUUGAAGAAGAUGAAAAUACUUGAAGAUUGCUUGAUCCACUAUGAUCAACCUGAGAUCAAGUUAUUAAGAGAUCGUGUAUUAAUUAGACUGAAAAAACAACUUAUUAACACAUGCCACACAUAAAAGAACAUAUAAAAGAAAUAAUCACUUCAUGAUCAUGGAAAUAUGGAAACAAAAUCAAAUCUGAAAAUCAAAAGCUAAUUAUACUUAUGAAUUUACAAUGAACGAUCAGAUUAAUAAAGGCUGAUCAGAGAUCAUUAACAGGUAUAUUAUGACGAUAUAUAAUCAUCUAACAUACACACAGACACACACACACACCGAUCAUGUGCAAUAUAUACCAGCUAUGAUCAUGGCAUAAUGGGUAUCGAGAAAUCAAAUAUCUGGAUAAUUGUUAAUAAAUACUAACAAUUCUUGGAUUUUCAAUGAUCAACGGAUCAACUAAAGAUGAAGGCACAAGAUCAAAAUUAAGAUAUUAUAUAAAAGCACAUACAAAAGAAUUUAACCAGAAAAAUGAAAUAAUAUACUUUUGAGUAAAUUAAUAAAUCACGUACUCUUGCCUUUUGAUCGUGUUGUUGUGAUUCUUCCAUUAUAAUCAUUCUUUGGUCUUGAAAAUUAGUCCAAGAUACAGAAGAAGAAGCAGCUCGAUUAUGUGACGAAGAGUGUAAUAGGUGCAAAUGUUGAUCAUCUUUUUGCUCCUCCGCAAGUUGAAAAGGAUCAGAGUCAUGUGGUGGGUUCAAAUGCACUGGAGUCAUGAAUGGCGAGAGAGAGAUGGCCGUUGUUGUUUGUCCAGCGAAGAUGGGGCAAUAUGGGAGCUAGGGAUAGGGCAAAAGAGAAGCUAAAUGGUAGCAGUAAAGGUUUCUUAUAAAGGGGAAAAAGGGUAAGAAAGAGGUCUGAAAGACAUUCACGUGACUUCAUGUAAUAGCCCAAAUAAAACAAGUAAGACAAGACAAACUAGAAGGAGGUGCAGAAUGCAACUACUCAACCUCCGUAUGACAAAAACACCCCUAUCUGCAGUGCCCUAUAUUAUUUUACCUCUCAUAUUACACCGGUUUCCGAGUAAUUUCAUGACAUAUCAAUUCUUUUGUUUCUUGAUGCAUUUAAGUUGUUGUGCCCUACGCAUCACAUGCCUCUAUUUGUCCUUUGAGUUACAGAUCGAAAGCCCAUUAAAUGCGCUCCAAAGUUUUACCUCAAAAUAUUAGUGAGCAAUUCUUCUGUAUGUUGCACAUACAACUAAUCAAUAGAAUCACAGUAUCUGUACAUUUCUUAGUUUUGUGUAUAUAUUUUGAUAAAUUCUAUUGGCUGAUGGCACGUUCGUGAGUACGAAAGUUUUCCCAGAAUUAGAGAUAGUACGGCUUGUAUUUAAGAUAGUAAGAGAGCUACGCUUCUUGCUUGUUCACUGGCAUAAAUAAGAUAAUUCAUAUACCAUGCAUGAAAGAUAUUUAGUAAAAUGGAGAGGGAUUUCAAUCUUCAGAGGAGAGAUGGGUGUAGAUCAUUUGCAUGCAGGGGAUCAUGGUGUGCUUAUUAUAGUCUUUUCCAAAAAACAUCGAUUGCUUGAGCGCAGGAUAGGGGCAGUGACAGAUUAGUCCCCACAACUUUUGAAUCAACCCCUUGAAUUCCCUUUUACCGAUUACUGUACCCUCGAUCGCAAAAUAAACAGUAAGCCAUAUGUCGCUUUCAUUUCUAUGAUCUGUCAUUUUGAUUUCUCCCCCUUUGUUUUGCCCAGAGAUAAGAUCAAGUGACAAAAUAACAACAGAAAAUAAAAGGUCUCCAUGGAGCCACGUAUAUAUUUGUGUAUAAAUGACAUAAUUAUGGUCAUGCUUUCGCUUCAUAUAUGUGGAACAGGUUCCUACACAAGCUAGCUAGCGGCUUGAUCAAUAUUUUAAUUUCAAGUUUAUGUAACCUUGUCUCCUAUGUUUUUCAAACUCAGUUUACUGCCUAGCUCACAUGGCGAAGCAAUGAUUACUUGAUAUGCAGAAAAUAGAUGAUGAUUUGCUGUAUUCUUUUAGUAGUUUGCUCACAAGACUGCACCAUUACUGCCUGUUUUUGUUAUUUCUUCUUAUUAUAUGCUCCAAAAUAAUAAUAACAACACCGAAUAAAUAGAUAUUUUUGGUCUCACCAAAAUAGCUCACAAUCAGAUUAAAAAACAUUUAGACCUCCGAGGUUUGAUUAAAUUUAUACUUAUAUUGGCUUCAAAAUGGUUAAACAAAUCUCUUUUUGGGUGAGAUUUUUUUUUUUUUGGACAAAUAUUCUUAGGCUUUGCGCAAUCAUUUCUAAAACUAAAAGAUUUACAUAUAUAAGUACAUUUAAGCAAUUUCAAGAAAUCUUAGAGGUUUUGGCCGCUUCCUCUCCCCCACAUCCACCAUCAAUCAUAUAUAUAUAAUCCUAAUAUGUAUAGAUGUGCUCUUUAGAAUGAAAGUUAUGCCAAAUAAUUGAAAAGGUCAAAUAUUUGAAAUCUUAACCUCUCAGAAUGCUAAAUAAUUAAUAAGUGAAUCACAAUAGUACUAGUACUCCUUGCAUUGGCACCAACCUACGAGAAUGCUUCGUGUGCCAUGAUCGCACUGAUACCAAAUUCAUUAAUAUUUAUAUUGACAAGAUAAAUGUACAUAUUUUUUCAGAACGGCUAGGACGAUCAACAAUUUCUAAGAUGAAGAAACAUGCAACGUGUAAGAUCUAAGAGUCAUUCCUAGUGAUACUAUUUGAGCUAAGAUUAGAUUAUGACGCAUUUCUUGAUAGAGACAUUGUCAUUUGUCUAUGAUUUGCUUGCUUAACUAAGAAGGCCAUGCGAUUGAGCUAGACGGUACUGUCUUUGUUUGGCCAAAGUCUCCAUCAUAAUAUGCUGUCUCUUGCUGGAUCUCAUGCGCGCACCCCAAAUUGACCGACAAAGAUUCUCUCCUAAUUUAAUUAUAUUUAAACAUAGGGGAUUAUUAUCUUACAUAAUCAUGUAAGAUACAUGAUUCUUCCAUAACAGUUUGAUGAAAAUCCAACAGUUGUAAAAAUAUAAGAUAAUAAAAUCAUAUUAUUUUCAGUUGGAUUUUCAUCCAACAGCUGUGAAAGAAUCAUAUAUCUUACGUGAUUAUGUAAGAUAACAAAAACCUUAAACAUAAUAUGAGGUAGUGGAACAAGGUAAAUUAUUUUUUAAAUACAAAGGAGUGAGUGGGUGCUGUCAAAAUCAAGAGACGACCUUAUAAUAAAAGCAAAUAUCAAGCAUAAUGGGUUCCCUCUACAUGUGUAAUCACACACCGUGAUUUAGAGAUUUGUAUAUAUGAAAUAAAAUCAAUUAAGGUAAAAUUUGUGAGUAUUCAGUAAAUAGCAUUAUGUAAAGCUUAAUCUAUACCAACGUAUUGAAAAAUAAAUAAAAAAAUAGUUGUAGCCCAGUUGAGCUCCUUCCAAACAUCCCCAGUAGCAGAAACAAAUGGCCGGGUACAUCAAAGUUUUGGUUAUAAUUUAGAAAGGGUAAAGUUCGAUUCAUCCUUCAAAUAAAAUGAUAAUCUUCAAUUUAUUCUCUAUAAAUAAAGGGUGCAUUGAUGAAUGUUUUAUUUGUCUUCUCAUCAGUAAAUAGGGAAUAAAUUAUUAUUUUUACAUCUUUUAGAGUAAAUUGAAGAUUACAAUUCUAAGUAGGGAAUAAAUUGAACUCCAUUUAAAAUAAUGAAAUAAAUUAAUAAUCUACACAAUCGAUCAAUUAUAUCAAUUUUAAUUCUAAUUUUAUCACUGACGUCUCUUGACCUUCUUCAAUACUAAGGUUUCCUUAAUAGAAAAUUAAGUGAACCAGUUUACCAAUGUAAUGUAUAAGGAUUAAAUUACCCAUAAAAUAUUUGUGAUUUUAUGAAAAUUUUUAAACUUCUAAAAGGCUUAAUUGUAUCACGUUAUAUCUAUAUAAUUAUUACACACCAAUUAACCUAAAAAAUACAUAUUUUUGAUAAUGAUAUCUCAUGAAAUAUAAUAUAUUGUUGAAAGCUUUUCAGUUUCAUUUAAAAAAAUAUACUUAUUAUUCGUCAUAAUUAAAUGAUUAUGAUACAAUAAUACACAUUUUUGUGAGUAAUUUGGUUAUUUUAUGUUAUAAGGUUAAAUUAGUUAAAUUAAAUUUAUUUUAAGACAACCUUAGCUGUCAAUAAGAUCAAAUCAACAAAUAGUAUAAAUGACCCAAAAAGGGAGAAAAAAACAUGAUUUUUCUGUAACUUUCUUUAUAUAUAUAUAUAUAUACACACACUCAAAGUAGAGAUAGAUAAUGAGCUAGGAUGCCAUGGCCCAGCUCCUGAAAUCAAGGCCCAUAUGUACUCGUGGCCCAGCAUGGCACGACCUACUUGGCAAGUGUGCCUUACGAGUGGAGCUAUUGGCACCCCUCUAAGUUCUUGAAAAAAUCCCUUUUCUAAGUACACCUUAUAAAUAUUUUUAUAUACGCGUCACUUUUCAAAAACCUCAUAUUAAUUCCAAAAUUACCCUCAUCUCUUUACCCUUUUUUCUUUUUUUAGGUUUUGAAUUCUCAUCCUUCAUAUUUAGUUUAGAACUUAUUUAUUUGUAUCCAUUCAUUUUUCAAAACUAAUCUUAUUAAUUUAAUCUACAAUAAAUUGAUUCAUUUUUUUUCUUUUUUAAUCUUAAAAUUUAUCCCCAACUACUAGUUUUCAAUCCAAUCUCCUACUCGUCCCAUUUAAAAUAUAUAUAUAUAAUUCGAGCUCGUUAACUAGUACAAAAAAUUAAGAAAAAAGUUUACUUUCCUAUAUAUGUUACAAGAUCAAAGGAAUGCAAGAAACAUAACAAAUAAAGAGGUGAAUCAGCUGCUGAAGAGUAGAUGUUGUUAUGGGAUUUUAAUUACUUAGAUGUUUAGAUCUUAUUUUAUUUUUUUGCUUUUAAAGGGUAUUUGUUUUUAUUAUCAUAGUUACUUGAUGACACUAUAGUGGGUUUCAUUUCAAUUUUAAUUUGAAGCAUCUGCUAGUUAAAAAAAAAUUGUUCUGGUUGGGGGGGGGGGGGGGGGCGAGGGGUUGUUCAUUUGUUGAAAAAGACAAAGGGGGUUAAUUUCGAAAAUAAGCCGGGGUUUCAAAAUCACGCUGCAAUCAUCAAUAAAUUGUGGGGUGCGGCAGGUAAAAGGGGUUUUAUAAGGAAAGUAGUGGUGUGCCAAUAGCACCACUCAUGCCUUACCUUGCCCAGCACAACUGACCAAGACACGACCCAACACGGCCAUAGGCCCGAUGCCUGGCCCAUGGCCAACCCUUGUGGGCUUCCCAAGUAAAAAGAAAACACAAUAAUUUUUAAAUUUGUAGUGAUAUUUGACUCUUUAAUAUAUCUCACUAGCCCCUUUUUUCAAUUAACCCAUUAAAAAUUUUAAACUAAUUUUUAUAUUUCAACACAUCCCAUCAAAUCCCAAAUUUACUCUUAUUAUAGCUUUUAUCUUUUUUCCAAACACCACCAUAUAAAAUUUAUAAAAUCUAUUUUGAAAAAAAAACUCCCAUAAUCAUUGUAAUCUCUUUCUUUCUUUUUAAAAGUUGUCUGUUGUUGUUAUAACAACAAAUAAAAAAAAAAGAUUGGAUACUUUUUCAUCAUCCUCUAUUGAGUAUUAUAAAUUAAUUUCUUCCAUAAUUACAAAAGUAGAGUAUGCAAUAUUUGAGAAGAGAUAAUAAUUUAAAAAGUUAAAAGAAUUAGAAAAUAUUAAUAGAAAUCAUCAUGUGAGUAUACUUAAAAGCUAUUUAUCUUUUUAAGUCAUUUCAUAUAAAAAUAAAAUAAGUAUUAGCAUAAAGUGAUUAGUGAGGGUUGGUGAGAUAUAAUGAAUUGGUCAAAUAUCACAACUCUAAAUUAGCCUUUCAAGGACCACCACUUUUACCAUUAAGCCACAUAAAUCUAAUAAGAAUUUGGUGAAAAUAAUUAUACAUAACUGAAAAAAUAAUAAUAUUUUUCAUAUAUUAACAACUUGUAUGAAACAAAAUAGAAUUAAAAAGAAAACACAACAACGAUAAUAAUAGAAAAAUAUUAUAAUAAUGAUUAAUAAUAAAAUUUUAUUUCAUUUGCCAUGUGAUAAACAUUAUUAGAUUUAGAGUUGUUGAAUGCAAUUAUAGUAGAGCAAUAUUUUGUAUUAUAAAAUCAAGUUAAUAAAUUUGAAGGACAACAACAAAUUUCAACUAAAUUUAAUCGAAUAAUGAACAGUUAACAAAAAGUAACUUUAUGCUUAGCAAUAUAACUAUUAAAUCCAAGUGAUGAAUAAGUAAUUUUAUAAGUUAUGAAAUAGAUUAUUCAGUAGAUAAACGUCACAACUGCACUUGAGAUAUAAAUAUUUAGAUAUUAGUUAUGUCAUAGAGUUUUAUUCGAAAAAAUUACACAUAGGACAUUAGUCGAUAACUAAAUUUUUGUUCAAUCGAAAAAUAGAAAAAUGCAAAUUGAUUAAGGAUGGCAAUGGGGUGGGGUGGGUGUGGGGAGACCUACACCAUUCCCCACUCCAUUAAAAAUUUCCUUUCCAUUCCCCACCCUAACCCCCAGUAAAUUUAGUGGAGUGGGAAUGGAGAAUCUCAUGUGGAGAAUGAUCUCCUCAUCCCCAACCCAUUCCCCGUGUACUUAUUUUAUAAUAGAUAUAGAUAAAUGAUUUUAGUAAAUUAAAGAUUAAAGACUUAAGUAAAAUCAUUACCAUAUUAUAAAAGUAUUUAAAUUAUUUUAAAAAAAUCUCUAAGAGGUUGAAACAAUAUCUUCAAAUAAUAUAUUAAAACCAAAAUAUGUUUGAAGAGAGCAAUACCAUGAGAGAAAAGAAAACAUAAUAAUAUUUUAGGAUUGAAUAAGAAUUAUGAUGUAGCGUUUUCUUUUAGUUAUAAUUUAUUUAUAUUUGGUAAAAAUAAAAAGAAAAUUUAUUAACCAACAUUGUAAUUGAUAAAGCAAAAAUUAUUGAACAAAAACAAAAAAAUAUAUCCAUAUAUAAUGGGGAGUGGGGUGGGGAGUACAAAACUAAACCCAACCUAAUUAAGAAUUUGAGAAUUAUUUUUCCCCUAUUCCUCAUCUCAUUCCCCAAAAUUUAUUUAAAAUUCACUACAUUUGGGGUGGAGCCCCAUGCCCGCGGAGGAUUUUGUCAUCCUUAAAAUGGAUUGAAAGUCAUUAAAUUCAAUUACUUUAAAAGAACAUAUUGUAUGUAUAGAAACUUGAUACAACUAAUUCGUGAAUUGAAUUGAAAUGUGACAAAUGUUACUUAUUGGAUUGACAAGUUAUUGAAUUAAAUAACAUUAAAACAAUACGUUGUAAUAUAAUUCAAUUAUAAUUAAAGCAUUGUAUCAUAUUUGAAGUUUAACAAUGAAUCAAUUUAAUUUUAAUAUGAUGCGAACAAAUUUACAAAAAUAUAUCUAAAAAAUAAAAAUAAAUUAAAACAACUCCCGUGCCUAAUUGGUUGGCCCAUUUUACCGCGUGCCCGUGUAGUGCCCAGUCUAUGGGCCAAAAACAUCAGCUCAGCCUAGCCCAUCAAUGGGCUAUGCCAUGGCCAUGUGCCUUACCGUAGCGGGUCAUGCCUUGCCACGCCAGUGGGCCCGAUGGGCUAGUCAAAUGGCUCACGUUUCAAUUGAAAAGCCACCAACUAGGGAAGCGCAUCGUUUUCGUUAGAGUGCAGCUUUUAACACACCCUCUAACAUUCUUAUAAUACCCCUUUUGGAUGUUAUUCUCUUGAACACCUUCAAUGUAAUUGAUAGAAUACAAGUUUAUAUAUUAAAAUUAUCCAUCUUCCCAUAAAUGUUUACCCAUAAGAAAAUUAUUUAUUUUUAAAUUGCAUAUAAAUCCUAAAAUAUUAAGUUUAUCUUAAAUAUUUUUCUUGUUAUAAACUAAUUUCUAUCUCCAAAACUCUAGAUUCUUGUAGUUUUCUAAGCAAAAAAAAAUGAUUAAAAAUUAAUAAAAAUAAAUUAUGAAAUGAGGUGGGUGUAAAAGGCUUGUUAAACAAAAAAAUUAUCCAAUUGUUUAAUUGAAUUUCUAGUCAAAACAAAAAAUAAAUUAAUUUGUCUUAGGUUAUUUCAGUAAUUUUAAUUUAAAAAAAAAUGAAGAGAAACUUUAAGGGGGUGUCAAAAGGCUACUCUUUUGUUAGGAACGACUAGGGAUUGGGCCUUCUACUAGCACCUAUUAUUAAGUCUCAUUGCACGUACAUUUCGGGGAGCAAAUUUCUUUUAUUUUCUCUCUCAUUUUGGGAAAGAAAAUAAAAUUACCCUCUCACAUUCCAUUAACGUACGCAUAUAAACCCCUUAUCUAAUGACCCAUAAAAGGGGAGAUGAUGAUUAAUGAGUGUAAAAAAAAAAAUUAUUUUUAUUUUUAUUACUUUAAGGUUUCUUAUUAGUUUUAACACUAAACUUUAUAUAGGCUCAUAUUGAGAAAGAAAGUUUGGAGAACCACAUUACCCUUUUUUUUUUCUUUUUGAAAUGGGGAGAAAAACAUUACUAAUUACUAAAAAUUGAAAAUUAUGUGUAACAAUGGUUGGUGAGCAUUAAGCAAUGCCGUCUUUAGGCGUAAAGAUGACAAAUGGUUAAUGCAUAAAAUGUAGGGACUUUCUUAUCUUAUCUUAGAAGCCCUAAUUCCAGCACAAUAAAAGUCCUAUUGGUAAUGUCACCGAAGACAUAAUAGAGUGGAUCAAAUUAAUCUCCAAAUUCAGCAAUUUAAGUAAAAAUUCUUACUGUAGGUUGCAGGGGCACUUUCCCUUUUGAUGUAUGCAUUGUUCUUUAUCAAAUGUAAAUUAGUAUAAGAAUUUGUGUGUGUGUGUGGUCCUUCUCUAAUGUGGGUAUACAUAGAGUUAAGAUUUUAACUUUUUUAAACUACACGGUUUUAUAGUUCAUUUACAAAUAAAUUUAUUAAACUCUACGAUUUAAAAAUGAUGUAUAUACACAAACUUCAAUUUUUAAUAUUUUUAUAAGAAGAAUUGGUAUUUUCAACACUGUUGAAAGCACCAGUUAAUAUUACUACAAACCCAACGGCGCAAAACGACUUUAAUCCUUAGCAGUUUAAACAUUAAUUAAGAAUUUGAAAAAAGAAGAAGAAACAUGGUUUGUGGCUCAUUCACCGUUUAAUUAACACAGCAUACCCAAUAAAUAGCUUAUUUCUAGUCUUCACUUCUCAUCAGAAAACUGGGCAUUUAAUAUUACAAUUAUGCAUCAUUUAUUGGUCCAAUAACACAAGUUUCCAUCAACCUCCUAGGUAGCAGACGCUUCACAUUGUAGUACCCAUAUCUAUCCAACACAGGCCUAGCUAUAGGAGCCUCUUGUUGACACCAAUAAUUGAGAUCGGGCAGCAACAAUUACUAAUUUACUAUUACUAUCAUUUUUCUUUUGUUGGUUUUUGGAAGACUGAACGUGGCUCUUGCGUCUGGUCCUGUAGCCCCAUAAAUUUCAUGAGGCAGAAGCCAAGAGCCCACUGGCUGCAUCUGUCAGGUGGGUGAGUGUGUUUACUUGGUGAUGUGGUCACGUCUCUCAUAGCUUCUUAGGUACAAAUUAGGUGGAUGGGCAUAUAGUAAGCAGUAUUGAGUAGCCGUGGGGUAGGUGCUAUAGUAAACCAAUAUUAUCAAUUACCUCAUUAGUUCUUUUUUUUUUUUUUAAAAAAAAAAAGGGAAAAAAAUCUCUUAGAAAAGUAAACAUAUUAGCUGCGGCCUAAACUUUAUUUCAAUUAUAUGUUUCUCUUGCUGUAAUUUCAAGCAUAUCUUUUGAUUUAUACCCUAUAUCUUUAGUCAAAUGAAAUUGUCAGUUUUCUAUCUAUCAAAAUCAAGAUAUAGUAUUUAUUUCCUAUUUUUUCAUAAUAGUUAAUAAUCCUAUUGACAAUAUAAUUUUAAAGUACUUUCAAAUACACUUUUAUUCAUAUUUACUAAAAAUUAAAUAGAUCAUAUAAAUAGAAAUUAAAAUAAAAAUUUAAUACUAAAUAUAAGAAAUAUAUAUAUUUUGGCAUGAAUAAAAAAUUAAUGAUAAUAUAUUUUUUAGUACUUUUUUAUUUUUUUUUUUAACAUUUUUCUUAUAGUAAGUAUAUAUUUAAUAUUCCUUGGAUAAAUUAUUAAGUAAAUUACUCAUUUACUCCUCUUUUCCUUUAAAUUUUUUAGUGUUAUGGGGAUUUUUAGAUAUUAUAAAAAUAAUAAGAAGAUAGUUGAUAUAUAUUAAUUUUAGUAUAGGAGAAAUUGAUCAUCUCCCUUUAUCAAAUAAACAAAUUGCAAAAUAUGUAUUUAUGUGGAAGUUGUUAAUUUUAUUUAGAAAUAUUUUUAUUUAGAAAGUCAUUACAAGAUGUUUUACAAACUAAAUUAUCUAGCGCCCUCUAUACAGUAGUUAUCUUAUAAAAAAGAGUUAAAAAAAACAAUAAAAUACGGUCUUCAAUAUAAUCUUUUUUUUUACCACUUCAUAAUUUGUCAUAUUUUAAUUUUAAUUAUACCAUUUCAAGUAGAGGAAACAAAUUAUUACGAGGAACUUAGAUUUAGAUUCAGCACUAAGUGAAGCUUCCCGAUGAGUUGUUUUAAUAUAAUGAUUGAUAAUUAUUGGAUAAACAAUCAUAUACAAUAUUAAAUCUUAAUCAUACUUUACUAUAAAUACAUGCAUAAACAAAAGAUCAUAAAAAAAAAUUAAUAUAACUCAACUCACCACUAGAUUCAUAUUUAAGGAAUUUAGAUUCAAUGCCUUGAAUUAGGAUUUAGUGUUCAUCUUUUAAUAAUCUUUUGGCACCCAUACAUUUAUAACUAUAUAUGAUUAAAAUUUGAUUACUUUCUCAAAGAUUAGCACAAAAAUUAAAUGAGCUAGCGCUCAAUCAAAAUCUCUUGUAAGAUAACUGUUCAUUUACAAGCUGUUUAGAUCAAUCAACUACAAAGGGGUAUUUUUUUUUUCUUUUUUGAAAAAAAUUCAUCUUGUUUCUUUGUUGGGUGAAUAAUGGACUUUAAAAAGAAGACCAAACCCUACUGAAGUUGAGAAUACAACUUUGUGAGGAGGAGUGGGUAAAAAAUUGGAUAUAAUUAUUAAACCAACAAUAUAGCUGGCAUGUCAUCGGUUUUUUUCUUGUUUUAUCAAGUAAAUUGAUCUGACACCUUGCAAUAAUAGUGCUUAGCUUACCAUAAUUUAGAAAUUUAGACUCGCAUUUUCAGGUCCGGUCAUUUAAUUACUCGCUAGCUAGACGACGCUCAUGUCUUCGUUGGAACUCACUACUGUACUGCAUGCUUUUCCAUUUUCAGCAUUAAGGUUUUGUUUGAUUUCAAAGAAUCAGAAUCAGAUUAAGAUUCAGAGCCCUUGAAACCGGAGCCAAAAUCUGUACUCUGUUAUACUAUCCACCAGUUCUCCCACUGCCACCUUUCUCUUAUUGAUUAAUGUCAAUUUCCUGUAUUUCUAUUUUUUUUUUUUUUUGAAAUGUUUGGGUGUUUCAUCAUUUUCUCAUCUUUAAUAUAAUUGUGUUUCACUUUGAAACUGAAGGCAAUUUUACCAACAACAAUUCAUGGCAUCAUGAACUUCACAUGCAUGAACUGUCCGUAAAUUCCAGGGCCAGUGCUUACUGCUUAUUUCUUAAGGCUUAUUUAGCGCAAAACAAAAAUAAGAUUAACUACAUAUGUGUUUGUAUUUUCAUCAGAGAAGAGGAUGCAGAGUAACUACGAUGACAGAGAAACAAAAAGAAACAUUAAAAAAAAAAAAACACUUAAUGCUAAAAACAUAGAGCCAAACAAACAGCUCCUAGGAACCUACUCUCUCAUAAACAUGCAACUCCACCAUUAUUUGUACGGAUUAGUUACUUGUUGUCUUAGAAGAUCGUGAUCGUCAAAUUCAUUUGCAUUCUUCAAGCUCGAGUGGUGGACCCCAUCUAAGAACUCUUGCCAGCCACUCAUCACCAACAUCCAAUAAAUCACAUCCGUCCAUUUCCUCCCCAACAGCAUUAUGAUUAUUAUUACUAUUACCAUCCCCUCUCCCAACCAUCCAAACCCCAUUCUCCGUGCUCGCGAUGUUCCCGGUAGGUCCCACGUAUUCAAUUCCCGCCAUCACAGUGGACCCCGAGACCGAAAUAGACGCCCCACAGCUCUCACUCUUUACAUCAAACGGCAGAGACGGUGGCGGUGACGGAACAUUUGACGGCGGAGAGGUGGGUUUAACGUUGGUGCAUGACGGGGAGGUCGCUAUCUCUUUGUAUAACUCUCGCAUUACCUCCUCUAUCUUCUCUUCUUUGAUGAGCAGCUCAGGAGAGAGCUCGGCUUCAUCGUCGACUUCGGUCAACAACAUGGUCAAAGUUCCGACAAGGUCGCCGGAGAUGCCGCUCUCAUCGGGGGACUUUGAGUCUUCUUUUUUCAUGUCGAGAGCAGAGCAAGAGAGACGCGUACUGAGAGUCUGAGAGUGUGAGCGUUGAUAUGAUACGAUGGAGAGGAAAAGUGUGAUUUGAGUAACGUAUAUAGAGGGAGUAAGAGCGCUGAAAGCUGACACGCUGGCACAAUGUUCUGCCACGUAGGAUGGCUGGUGCAUGACGAUGACGUGGCUAAUUUAUUUUUGUUUUGUCUUUAAUUGUGUAAGUAACUGUCACGCAUCAGAUGACGAUGUAGUAGCAGCACAGCAAUCCAGCAUUGACUUUUUGUCUGCAUUGGCCAUUGAGUUUGUGGUAAAUGGGAAUUUAACUUGUGCCGCUGAUGUGUUCAACAGCUUCUGUUAGAAAUUGGAUCGAGUUUCUAAUGCGGGGUAGCGUAAGGUUAAAAAAACACGUGUAUGUACAGCUUGACCGUAGUUUAAUAUUUCUUGGAUAGAAAGACAAGAUGCCUCGUGAAACACAUCUUUAAGUACUACUGAACCGGCGGAGAUUUGUCUUGUAAUCUUUAAGUUUUGUACUUUGAAGCCGCUCCACGUGUAAAAAAAUUAUAUUUAAAAUAAUAAAGUAAUUACUUAAUUGGUGAAAUCGAUAGAAUAAUACAUCAAGCAACAACUUUCGGUUCUUUUUUUUUUUUUUGUUUUUUUGUUCCUUGUUGAAACACAAACACAUGUUACAACGGCAGCAUGUCAGUUUACCGAUCCAGUUAUCACUUCACAAAAACACCAUUACAAUACAUAAUCGGUGAAGCGUUUACCCGCCAAUGAAAAAUAAGAGGAAUUAAGUGAACAAGAGGGAUUCCUCUAAGUUACAUGCAUGUACCUUACAACCCUCUCAUAUGAAUAGUAUUCAUUUACUAUUUAUAUGAGAGGAUUGUAAGGUACAUGCAUGUAACUUAGCAUUAACCGAACAAGAGAUAUCUAUAUAGGAACAUGUGCACGAUAACUUAGCUUAGAGCUGAAUGAGAUAUGCCUCUCCAGCUCUUGCCAGUUUCUCUCUAUCAGCAUAUUUAGUUCUUCCAAACACUACAGUAAUGGAUCCUCUGCGAAGAUAUGAGUUACCAAUUAGUAAAUUCGAUGCGAAAUUUGAUGUUGCACCGAACCACAAAAGUAUUUUUAAGAAAAUAGUGAUCAUUAGAUGCAGUUAAUUUCCGAAGGACCGUCCACGGAAGGCAACAUGAUACAUAUGCAUAUUUUCUAGUGUAUUAAUUACGAUUUUUGUUACUUAAUAAAACUGCUUUUGAAAAUUUCUAGUCAUUUGUUUUUGACAUCUCGUGUUCCAAAAUUUAUCAUCGCUAGUUUUUUAAUUUGACUUUGUCUCUUGACUCUCUUUCUCCGUAUUUUUCAACAUUUUUUUCAGCAUUGUCGUUUUUAUUGUUCCAAUCAUGCUAUUGUUAUUUUCUACGUUUUUCACCACUUUAAUGUUCUUAUUACUUUUUGACCUUUUUUUUUUCUAAACCUUUCUUUUAAUUUUUGGAAAAUACUAGUUACCCCGAGUCAAGCUCCGGGUCAAACCCCGAAAGCAAUAAACGACGCUGUUUCAAUCUUUUUUUUCCUUUUAUUCUUCUUAAAACGACGUCGUUUUAACUUGGUUAAGGCAAAAUCAACAAUAACCCCAAAUUGCUCUCUUUCUCUUCGUCUCACAACAGCCCCAAAUUACUUUCUAUUUCUCUUCAUCUCACAACCCCUUUCUCCUUCUAUUUCUCAGUUUCUCUUCCCAUUCGUUUCACAGGCACCAUCAUGCAUACCCAACCAUCGGCACCCACCACCAAAAUAAAACAACAAAUUCUUUGCAAACGACUUUCUCAUAAACUUGACAAAUACAAACCGUUUUAAUAAGGAAAUAUUGGCCUACAUGCACAAUACAUGGCAUCUAGAGAUGUAAUUAAUACUUAGUCCAACAAAUUACACAAUAGCCAAAAUUAACAAUGGCACGUGAGCAUAUAUUUCACCAAUAAAUUGCACAAAAAUCUUCUAUUCACUGCUAAAAGCUAACUAGUUUCCCUAAUAUAUAUAAGAAAAACUAAUUUUGCCAAAUUCAAGUAAAAUUCAAGUUUCGAAAAUAAGCUGCUGCCAAAGAAGAUAGGACCUUAGCUAUUGGGAAAGCAACGUAGAAUCAAAACUCAACUUUCAAGAGUAGAUGUUGAAACUCAAUCUUCUGUUAGAAAAUUUUCGCAGCUACCAUAAAUGCCGAAACUCAUCCUUCAACGACAAUGCUGACACUCAUCCUUGUUCAAACUUUCCUUUUUGUCUUUUGGUGGUACUGAUGGCUGGGCAUAUGUGAUGGAACCCUGUGUGAUGGUGGCUGCCAGGCUAAUGACUGUCAGUGUGGUGGGUGUCGAUGGUUGGGUAUGUGUGAUGGUGGCUAUGAAACGAAGCGGAAGAGAAAGACGAAGAGAAAGAGAAAGCAAUUUGGGACUGUAACAAUUUUGCCUUAACCAAGAUAAAACGACAUCGUUUUAACUUGAAUGAAAAGAAAAAAAAAAGAUUGCAACGGCGUCGUUUAUUGCUUUCGGGAUUUAACCCGGGGGCGCCCUUAACGUUCUAACACUGAUUUAAUAUUUCUCAUUUUUUUUUGUUAUACUUUUUUCAUUUUCAAUAUUUCUCAUCAUUUGUGCCUUCUUGUCACUUUUUAAUUACUUUUUCAAUAUUUCUCUUGACUUUACAAUCACCCUCGUUCGAAGAUCUAUUCUUUUUUAAUCAUAUUUUCAAGACAUUCUCAUUACUUUUGCACCAUUAAUUUUGUAUUAUUUUCUCAAACAUAACAUAUACUUUUUCAACCUUUUAUCAUCACAUUCUAUUUUCUCAUCACUUUUUUCACAUUCUUCAGAUUUUUUAUCAGCAUUUUCCAUCACUUGUUCAACACUUUUUACGACAUUCUAUUUCCUCGUCACUUUCUUUACUUAUGGAUGACUCUCCUAACCUUUUCAAUAUUUUCAUUUCAAGGGACAUCCAAAAGCCCCUCUAGAACAAAUAAUGUACAUCACAACACCUGGAACCAGUCCUAUCAAAAUUUACAGUGAAAGAACCAGCAUUAUACAUCAGACUACUACAAAUGAGCAAUAACCCCUAUAAACCUCUCCAAAUGCACUUUCCGUACACUUACAUUGGCCAGCACCAGCAGCACCUUCUGCAAAUGCGUUGAUAGCUUCUGUACCAUAAAAAUGUUUUAAGAUAGUAAUAAGUGCAUUAAUUAAGUAUUGGAAUGGAAUGCUUUUAGUGGAAGACAUUGCUUCUACUACAACAAGCAUCAAGUAAGGCAGAAAAAUCAAAAGGGACCAUUCUGGAUGUAGCCUUAAGAAAUUCAUCUCAUUUGGCCUAGCAAGUGGCACGCAAAGUUUCAAUUAAAAAUUAUCUAUCAUCUGGUGGCAAUGUAGGACUCUUGGAACACAUACUGAUAUUGUGAGGCUCCUUCAUUCUGAUUGCUGGAUUGCAUAAACCUGAAUAUAAUGAUACUUCAGUCAUCAGGGAGGAUUCAAAAGUUAAUUUUACAGAAUAAUUAAAUUCCUGUACACUCUCUUCUUAAAUUCUUAAUUAAAGAAUUUUAAAUCCAAUUCAGUCAUCAUAGAGGAUUCAGAAGGAUCAAAGAAGGUUCUAGGCUUGUGGCCUUCGUCGGUGCAUGUGUGGAGGCUGUGCCACCAGAAAUUGGGCUUGAGAAGUUUUUAUUAAAGCAAGAAAGUAACUCUUUUACUAUUCUCCGUAGCAUUGUUUACUCAUAAAGAACUUUCAAUGGAAGCAAAGUUAAUCAGCAGAAGCACUAUGAGCAUCAAUGAAUUGUUUUGGAGAUGAGAGGGAGUAAAAAUAAAGUGGCAGAGGACUUGCAAUUAAGAUGAAUAUGCAAGAUUUCAGGGAUCGUCACUGUAGCAUAAUGCAUUGUCCAGUGUGCUUCAAACUCCCUCUAAACCAUCAGCUAAAAAAGUAAUGUAAUAGAAAAUGUGAAAAUAUGCAUAAUCACCAGGCAUCAAAUUUGUUUUUAGGCCCCAUGAGUCUCAAGCUCCUCUAAUCCAUCAACUUAAAAAGAAAGAUAAAAAUAAAAAAAGAAGGAACAACUUACUGAAAAAGCUAUCCUGGCUAUACGUGAUAAAAAUGCCAGACAAAAGUUUUUCAAAAGUAAACGAAAUCUCUUAUUGCUGAAGAUGUGUUUCAUUGUAUUCCAGCCCACAACAAAUGUUUGGGAAUCUUGCAGUGAACUGGUCAUCAGCAUCUGAAGAUUCGAUGUCCAGUUGUGGACCCAGCAAUUGACCACUUCAAAGUUUAGACAACAUAUGCAACAUAUUGAUGGGUCCACAUGUCCCCAACAUUCUAAGGCACUUGGAUUAUUGGAUGCUAAAUUUCAAGAGCCAGGGUUGUGGCUCCAUACCGCGGGGUUAAGAUUUUGGUGGAAUUGAGCAACAAUCAAUCAUGGAGAAGCACUACCCCAGGAUGCAAGCAACCUUUCUAGCAUCUAGAGGAUCCCUCGCCGAAUGGGCUCCUUCCUCAUAAUCAUCAUCCUUAUUAUAAUAACAAUCAAAUUAGGAGAAAAAUUCUAAAUAGGAUCUGUGCUUGCAAGUUGGAAUGGGCAGAGGGUCUUGUACAGAGAGUGUUAUAGGUAGUGUGGCUGUCGACCUUGAUAUCCUUGGGACAGCCAUCCCACCUCAUCAUAUUCCUAAGGUACGUGUAAAAUUUAUAACAUUAUCAUGACUUGUUAUGGGCUAAAAAAACCUGUAUUCGAUGGGUUUAGAUUUCCUUUUUCCUCUUGCUAAUAUCUGUAAUUAACUCUGCUCGGAAAUUUGAAAAUUGUGCAUUUCCCCUCAAGCUCAACCUUACUUCGCACCAUCUCAUCAACUCAAUGUAAUACAAAAUCAUCACAAACCUACAGCACCCUAACAAUUGGUGGUCCAUCAAUCUCACUACUUUUAAGAGAGACCUUCAUAUUUCAUGUGUAAAGAAUACAUGAUCAUCAGAACUUAAACAGAAAGCAUGAUUUUCAAAUCUUAAUUUUAUAUGUACCAAAAUCACAUAUCAAGAUAGUUCUUUGAGAAAGCAAGAAAUCUAAUUACAGCAGGGCAUGUGAUAAUAAGAAACAUAAUUACAGCAGGGCAAGUGAUAAAAAUUGUGUUACCUGAGCACUUUGGAAUAUCCCACACUGCUAUAGAUGUGGAAGUACAUCUAGGAUCACAUAUUGCUCUGUUAUCUUCGUGGUGGACGUUCAUAGCAAGCAUCCAUGACCCGAUAGUUACAUCCUCAUUACUGAACAUUCUCAAACUGAAAAGUAGAACAUAUAUAUUAACAAAAGCAUAAAAGGAAGAAAGAUUACAAAAUAAAACUGAAAGAGAACAGAGAAUAGAGAAGGCAUUGUUACAUAAACAGUAGAGCAAGUCAAAUUAACAUUUUGAAGGAGAAAAAAUCUCAAAAUGUAUGCAAUGAGAACUUUUUAUCCCAACAUCAUAACAGGGAAAAUAUAUAAAAUAAAUUUCAUCUGGACACAUGAAAUUUUAGCUUUUCGUUGGUUCUAAUGGAUAUUUUCAGUCAUUUGUCAGUACAAUCUUAAACUAAUAGGUAAAAAAGAAGAUAAGCAAAUGUGAAUGUAUGAAGACCAAUGAAAACUUUAUCCAAAAGCACACAUGUUAUUUCUUGCAGCAGCUAAUGAAGCCACCACAUUUGCAGACAUAACAUAUAUAGGACCAUAAGCAUGCAAGAAGUAUUCAUUUCCAAUAAGGUGCCCUGAUUUUUCAUACCUGAAAUUUUCAAAAUUAUAAAUAAACUAAUAAAAUAAUUAAAAAAAUGAAGAAACAUAUGAAAAAAUAUAAGAUAUCUGAAAGAUAACAGUUUUAAUAAGCAAAACCCAUAUACCACUUCAUUUUAGGGUCAGUGAUCACAUGGCCUUUCUUCAUACAACCAAUGUAAGUCAGCGGAUUGCUACGUUCCUUGGCAAGAAGAGUUGCAAGACGAUCUGAAGAAGUUGAAAGAAAAUAAAUUUAUAAUGUCACAACACAUUUAUAAGAGUCACAGAAUGCAUGAUGCAUAUCUUCAUUAUUUCAGAUACCAAGGCGCAAAUAAAUGUCAUCAUCCAGCUUUGACGUAAUAAGCUGCUUCAAAAAGCAGGAAAGCUGCUCUAAAAUAAGCCAACCUAACAAUAGCAAAAAUGAAGAAACCAAAUUACCAAAGAAGCCACCGUUUUUUUUAGAUCGAAAUAACAAAGAUAACUUCACCUCUUACGUUUUAUAAGGAAACUUUAAAUAUUCUUCCUGAACAUCUAUGAGUUUAAAAUCUCUGUACUUAUCAAUCUCUUUCUCAAGCUGUGCCAUCUUCUUUGCAUCUUUAGAUUUCCCAAUUACAAACCGAAAUGCUAUCCCGGUAGCUUGCUCUAAUCUAUAAAAUAUACGACAAAUUAAACCCGCAUAUUCUCCCAGUUAUUAAACCAACCCCCCCCCUAAAAAAAAAUUCUUUGAUAAAAUAAAUGAAGCAUUUAUACCUUAAGAGUCCAUCCGGGUCAGAAGGGAACCACGUGCUGCGAAGAGCGGCCCGGCGAUCAGCUGAACCGAAACCGGUUUGAAUUCCCACAAACCCGAGAAGCUUGGGGCGAUCAAGGAGAGCUCCAUUAUCGCGGAGUUUUCGGGAGUCGGAUAGAGAGUAGAAUGCACGGAAAGUGUCUUCGGAUCUACCGCAACGGUAGACGGGUAGGGGACUGGGGCGGCGGACGGCGUUGACGGCAAAGAUUGUGCCAGCGAGGCCGAAGAAGAUGGAGAGGAGUGAAAAGAGGAGAAUGGGCAGGGAUAUUUUAGAUUUAAGCUUAUGGAGCUUUUGAUCUUUGGCUGAGUAGGAUGAGUUUGUGGUGGUGGAGGUGGGAAGAGCUGAGGAGUUGUGGCGAUGGGAGAAGAGUGGCAUUUCGGCGAAUUGUGAGUUGAGACAGGGAAAAUGUUGGGGAAACGUGAUUGGUGAAAGGAUCUGUCGUUGUUUCUUCUAGCUUUAUACCUCUGGUUUCGAAGUAGAGUUUCUUGGAAGUGACGCUCCUGAGUGAAUAGUGACACCGCGAGGCUGAGGCUCCCUUCCUUAAUACCAUUUUCAGUUCUCGUUGCAUUUUUUUUUAAAAGACAAUUUUUUUAAAAAUUAAAAAAUAUAUAUCAUAUUCACUAUUCAGACAGCCUCAGGUUGAUUUUGAGUAUCGGAUGUUUGACCCCUUUUUUCUAAUUAUUAAAGUAGUCUUUUUUUUCUCUAAAAUUUGAAUAUAUUAAAAUAUAUAUAUGAAUCACAUAUUUUUAACAUUUUUUAAUAUAAGUGUUAAGUUGUUUAUUUUUUUUAAAAAAUUAAAAAAUAAUUUUAUUUGGGCAUCAAAACGAAUAAAAUAUAUAUAUGUUCUUGAUCUAGCUGGAUAUAAAACCCUCUUAUAAAGAGAAAGGACAAAAACUCUAGAAAAUAAAAGUAAGAAAGUAUUUUGCCAAAGAGAGAUGACCUGCCUCCAGAGAGGUCUCCCUCCGUUAGCUUCAAGAGAGAGCGGCGUAGUAGCUUCAAGAGAGGUCUCCCUCCGUUAUUGGAAAAUGAUGUUUGCCCCGGAUCAAACCCCGAAAACUCAAAACGCACCGUUUCACUAAAGCCAAGAAACGACGCGUUUUACUUGCCUAUUUCCCCUUUACUUCUUCGUUUCCCAUCUUUCGCUUAACUCUUUCCCGUAUCCUUUUCUCUGGCUGCUUAUGAAGAAACAACAAAUUUGCUCACAUCAAGUUCAAAUCAUCAUCUUCUUCAAAGAUGCCAAGAUCCUUUGCUUCUCUUUUCUCCCGCAAGAAAUCGCAAAUACUUACCUUCAAAGAUUACUGCACAAACUGGUGCAACACUCUGCAAAAAACCCUCCUCCCUCCCUCUCAUUCAUAAAUCUAUUUCUUCAUCUUCAUAAAUCUAUUUCUGCAAAAAACCCUCCUCCCUCCCUCUCAUUCAUAAAGAUUACGCACCCACGCACUUGUGCAUGUAUAUCUGACUGAUAUGAGUAGCUGCAGAAUCUGUUUUGUUCAUCUUCAUGCUAUGCUUGUAGCAGAUAAGGUGAGGAAAUUGUGGUGGUUUAAAGUUUUGGAUUCUUAUGAUGGGUUGAUUGUACUUCCUAAUUUGUGGGCGUUUGUGAUUUGAUUCUUCAGUGGCUUACAAUUAUCAUUCAAGCUCUAUAUACUUUUCAUUCCAUUCUUUUUAUGCCAAUAAUUUAAAAAAUGCUUGCAAAGAUUCAUUUUCACUAUUGUACAGUAGCCACACAGAAUAAAGAACAAUUGAAAAAAGAAUCUGGAAUUUUCUUUCUACUUUAAUUUGGCCGCUUUUUAUGCUUGAGCUACUUCCCUUUAAUCUGUUUGUUUGCUUUUAAUCUGAAAUGAGGAGAAUGAAGACGAAGAAGCAACUUGGUUCUGUAACUUCUGUUGAUGCUUUUGCGAUUUAUCCAAAGCCAAACGUCAUCGUUUCAUAGCAAAUAAAAAAAAAAAAAUUAAUGACGAAACGGCGUCGUUUUAGCCAGUUUCGGGGUUUGACCCGGGAUUUGACCCGGGGCAAACAUCAGCGCUGUCCGUUAUUAUCCAUAGGGGUCGGCACUAACCGAUUUGGUUCAGUUUUGCCCUUGAACGCAGUCGAACUAAAACUGAUUGGUUAAUGAAUAAAUGAACCAAAUUGAGUUCGAUUCUAUAAUUCAGUUUGGUUUAAUAUUAUUUAGUUUAAGAAUUUUGAUAAUUUUUCUUUUUUUAUUAGUUAAAAUUUUGGACUUUUCACCUAAAUUUAAUUUUUUUCUUAAUUCUAUUCAAUUGUGAUCACUACAAAUUCAUGAUUUAUACAAAAAUAUUAAUGUCAAAUAAUUUUAUAAUAAAUAAAUAUUAUAUUUAUAAACGAAUAUUUUUAAAAAAAAUUUAAACAGCAAAGCAAUCGGUUCUUUGAUUUGAUUCGGUUUUGAACUAAAUUGAAUGAGAACCAAUUGAUUCUCCGAUUAAGUUCGAUUUUAAAUUGAAUCAAAUGAGAACCAAUCGGUUCUUGAGUUCCUGAACUAUUUAAUUUAUUUAUUUUUCUUAGAAAUGAAUUGAACAAAAUUGAGUAAUUUCAGUUUAGUUUGAUUCGAAAAAAACCGAACCGAAUGCCCUGCCCCCAAUUACCCUUAUCCACAGCAUAAGCUUCAUCUGAAAAACUUGAAUAUAAGAGCAUCUCCAAAGGCCUCUAUGAAUUUCACUCUUCAAAUAUCUAUUUGUUUACUUAUAUGGCAAAUAGAAAAGUGAAAAAAAUAUGAUAUUCUCUAAAAGAUUUUUUAAAUAGAAAUAAGUUAAUAUUAUUUUAAUCAAAUAAUUAUUUUUUUAAAAGAAAAGUCAAUAGCAAUUAAAUCACUUCUCCCUAUUUCUCUAGUAAAAAUAAAAUAAAAUAUAAAUUGAAGAGGGAGAAACUAACUCUCCAAAUUUAAAGAGAGAGAAUCAUCUUUUAUUUGAAAAUUUUUAAUUGAAGUGUCUUUUGAAUAUUCAAAUGUUAAUGUGGCUCUUUAAAUAAGUAAUAAAAUUUUAUUUGAAAAGUUUUUUAGUGAUACCUAAGAAACAUACACCUAUUUAAAAUAAAUAAGUAAAAGAAAACUAAGUUUGAUACACAUAAAAGUCAUUAUAAAAAAAAUAAUGUUAAAAUUGAAACUGCCUCGAGGCAUUCUCCGAUAAAGGGUAUCAUAAAUGUUAAAUUUUGGCUUAUAUCCAAUCUAAACCCCAGAUUAGCAAAAGCUGUCUUCGGAGACCAUGAUUAAUCGUCUGUCCUUUUUUUGUUUAAAAAACCUUCUGCUCUUCCAAAUUUUCUUUUUAGAUGUAACUGAAUAACUACAGCACCAGGCUUGUAGCUAUGUAUAAAUACGCGAGUAUUGUUACUUGCAUCUCAGCAAUUACAUGUGCAUUAAUUUGUCGUUUUUAAACGUUUAAUGUAUUUGUUUGGGUAGUUUAACUUGUGUCUCUCGAGAUCUCAUAAAGUGCAAAAAUAUGAGGUACCAUUUAGUAAUUUCGAUGCGGAUUUUGAUGUUGCCCCGAACCACAAAAGUAAUUUUAAGAAAAUAGUGAUUAUUAGAUGCAGUUAAUUUCCGAAGGACCGUCCAUGGAAGAAGGUAACAUGAUACAUAUGCAUAUUUCCUAAUGUAUUAGUUACGAUAUUUAUUACUUAUUAAAACUGCUUUUAAUAAUUUCUAGUCAUUUUUUUUUUAACAUCUCGUGUUCCAAAAUUUAUCGCCAGUUUUUUUAAUUUGUCUUUGUCUCUUGACUCUCUUUCUCCGUAUUUUUCAACAUUUUCUUUUCAGCGUUGUCGUUUUUAUUGUUCCAAUCAUGCUAUUCUUAUUUUCAACAUUUUUCACCGCUUUAAUGUUCUUAUUACCUUUUGACAUUUUUUUCUAAACCUUUAUUUUAAUUUUUCGGCGCACUUAUGCUGUGUUUACUUUCUCGAGUGGGAGUAAGGAGUGUGAAUUCCUCCCACUCUAAUGUUUUUAUACCCUUUUUUAAAUUAAAUUUAAUAUUUAAUAUUUAAUAAAUAAAUAAUGUUAUAUUUAUUUAAAUAAUGUUAUUAUAUUUAACUAAAUAAUAAUUUAUAUUGAUUCUAAGUUAAAAUUACUUAAAAAUAAUAUUAGUAUAUUAAUAAAUAUUACUAUAUGCUAUCUUCAUUUGAAAAUAUAAUUUUAUUAUAUUUAUUUAAAAAUAAUAGUAAUAUAUUUUUAUUUAAUAUCAAUAAUUAAUAAUAAUAGUUUAUUCUAAGAAAAUAUUAAUUUUUUUAAUAAUGUUUCAUUUUAUAUUUACCCUUCUUUUAUUAAAUUUACUAUAAAUAUAUUUAAUAAAUAUUUAAAUAAUAUUAUAUUUAUUUAAAUAAUAUUAUUAUAUUUAACUAAAUAAUAGCUUGGUUUGAUUCUAAGUUUAAAUUACUUAAAAAUAAUAAUAUUAUAUUAAUAGAGAAUUAAUAAUAUUACUAUAUACUAUCUUUAUUUGAAAAUAUAAUAUACUAUAUUUAUUUAAUUAUUAAUAAUUAAUAAUAAAAAUAAAAAUAAAUAGUUUAUUCUAAGAAAAUAUUAAUUUCAUACUAUGUUAAAAGUAAAAAUAUUUCAUUUAUAUUUCCCUUAUCAAUAAUUUUUAAUUUAUAUAAUUAAAAUUAAAAUUAAUAAAAAAUUGUGAUGUACAUAAUUAAGAAUAUUAAUAAUUAUUAUAAAUUUAAAAUAAUAAUAAAAUAAAUGUUUAUUCAUUAAAUAUAUUUUUUAUUAACUUUGUAAUUAAAAAAUAUAAUUCUUUAAAUAAGGAUAAAAUUAUAAUUUGAAACUAUUUACUCACAAUUCAAGACAAAAUAAACACAUAAAUUAGAUUUUGAUCUCCAUUCCAUGCUUUCAUUCCGGUGUAAGUAAAUAAUCUACUCUCACUCUCACUCUCACUCCACACUCCCAAUCCUAGGAUUCUUACUCUUCAGGAUUCUUUCUCCAAUCCAAAAAGUAAACCCUUCCUUAAUAACAUAAAAGUAAGUAAUCAAUAAUCGUAAAUUAGGGAUUCAUCUUCCAAAUGUAUAUGCAUGUUAUAUUGGGUAUUAGCCAAAUAUAUCUGCAUUUAGAAAAAUUCUUUGAUAUGGAUUCUUUUCACAUAUUUCAUAUUUAUUAUCGAUAGAACUAUGGACUACGCAAUAAAUGUAUGAAUUCAAAUUUCUAAUAGAGUUUAUAUUGUUAUAUACAUGUAGAGGCAAAUUUUGGACGUCCACACUAAAUUAAUUUCAUGCGAACUUGGAAGUUCACGACGUUCUAAAAAUCUGAGUUCGAUCGAACAAAAAUUCGUACAGACGUUCGUCGGAGAAAAGGACUCCACAUGUAAUUAAUAUCUAUAGCGAUGCAUACAUUGUUUCCUAUGGUUAAAUUUUAUGCUAUGAUUUCCACCGUGAGAAGAGAAUUUUAGUCCGAUAAACUUAAAGAAGAGAACGAGGAAAAAGAGGAAGAAAACAUCAGAAUCUCAAAGCUGCAACGUAAUCAAUAGAAGCUGAAUAUGAGCAUUUCUACAUACGUACAUACAGUACAUCUCAGAUAGCAAGCAAACAGUAUUAAUCCUAGUCGCUGCUAUCAUUUUAUUCAAUAUUUUAAUACAAGAGCCAUGUCACUUUAUUGGUGAUAUUAAUUAUUAUUCAUUAUAAUUUAUGUGACAUGGUUUUUCAAGGACGGUUUAGAAUUAUAUUGGCAUCACCAGGUUUUCCUCCUCGAGAGAAGGCGGCACUGGGAACGAGUUGAAGGUCCAAUUUAGAACCUGAUGGCUUUCUUCAAAGUCCCCCGUAGCUGCUGUGAAGCCAACAUA
rnacentral:lncRNA from 1 species